GCGACCGGCGACGAGAUCUGCGCGUUCUGAGCGCGGGCGCGCUAGGAUUCGGGCAGGGAGCUAAGUAAUGCCGUUUAAUCGUUAGCAGUACUUAUCUGUUAAUUUUCAUUUCAUUCGUCUCCUUCUGGUAAGACUCUAUGAUAAUGGUGGUAAAUAAGAGUAGUUCGAAGGGUUAAAAUGAUAAUCGGAGCCUUUGAAUCUCUCCUUUUCCUGGGUUCGGAAUUUGCAUUGGUGCCCUCCAAAUUUAAGCUCUAACUGCAUCUACCCCACCCAGCAUGAGAAGAUAUUUAAUUUCUAUGGUCAACCUUAAUUGAUAAUAAUGCUAUAUAAAUUCACAGAAGACCCUCAAACUUGAAGGGUUGAUAUGCAUGAAAACUUCUGCUAUGAAAUGAGUGCAUCUGAAAGAUUGUGGAUGGGGUUGUGGCCUGCAAUUUCCUAGUUUCAUUUGCCUCCUUAGAAACCACAAAAGCAGUUGGUGUGAGGAUAUUUCACUCUAAAUAUUUUAGGGCAAAAGUGGAGUAUAAAGUUCCCAACUUGAUGGAGGGUGUUGAUGCAAAUUUCUGUUCCUGGAGAAGGGUUGCCAAAGCUCCCUAGUUCAUUAGGUUGAGAUUUUUGGACUCUGAUGUGGCCGUACGUCUGAGCUAGUGGUGUCAAAUUUCUGUUGUGAUUUUGUCCCGAGACAAGUGUUUAAUAUUAAGCUAAUCCUAAUAUAGUUUGGCUUUUUAAUCUGUACUUGCAUGAUUGCUUCAAAAAGUUCUCGUUGUCUGCUCCCCGGCCGCUCAAUGUAUUCGUUUUGUUUUAUUGUCAUUUGUCAACAGCAUCUUUAUUCUUACUGUCAUGAUGGAAGACUUGGUUUCGGCAGCUGUAGCUGAUGUAGAAAAUAGGAUGUUAAAUAAUUAUGUAUCAGUUCUUGGAGCUCUUCAUAACUUCAAAUUUUGCAAGAAGUCGCAUCUCUUUUCCAUGAACUUUUAUUCCAUUUCAGAGCAAACAAAGUUUAGGGCAUUUCUAGGAAAAAAAAAGGAUUUUAUCGAAAUGUGGCAUUGUGAAUUCCAAUAGGAAUCAGAAAGAAAGAAAAAUUGUCACAUUCUGAAUGUGGCCUUGUGAUUCCUCCUCAAAAGUGGUUCAACCCCGCUGCAUGCAAACACGCACAAGGAGUUAAAAGUGGUUGCAACGGAUGGCCUCUGCUAGAUCUGGCUCACGCAAGCAUAGAUGCUCAUUUGCCCCUUUGAAAAGUUGUACAUUUCACCUAGUGAUCUUUUUUUUUCCCUAAGAUAAGAUUAGACACACCGAUUGAGUGGCUGUUUUACCGGAGGCAAAUGCCGUCGAGUAGGUGGCAUCUCUAGGGCUCAUUCAACGCCCAUAAGUUCCUCACCUACGUCGCCACCCGCCCAUGAUUUGCAUACGCUAUCCUAUCCUAUACAGGAGAAACCGAGAUGUGAUCCACACGACAUCAAGGACAAUGCAGCUACUGCCGUGCAAGGAUUCACAUUCAUGUUCACGGAUGGUUGCGCGCACACAGAGGUCAUGUGCAAACUGCAGGCCGGGCAAUGUGCAAUCCAAUCGCCCAAUCGCCCAAUCCCCUGUGCGUGACCCUGACGAGACGUUGCACCUGUAGAUUAGCUGGACCGGUCGUCGCUCUCGGUGCCCGUUGGGAGUCAUGUGGGGUGUGGUUAGGCGUCUGUUAACGGGGGAUUAAACUAAGGCCUAAGGGGGAUUACUGGUAAACAAGGAGCCCGAGAUUCCCGCGGACGGAGACGACGGGGGCGCGCGCGGCUGCCGAGGCGAGCCCGGCCACAUGCUGCCGGGUGGCCGUUUCCAGGCAGCGGCGUGGAGGAGUAAGGAAAGGCCCAAACAGUUAAUGAGACUGUUCGCGUGGGUGCUGACGCUGCAAUAGUUUAUGGAGGCAACAGCCGGUUGAGAACGACCGCUCGGCAUUGAAGAAUCGCCAUGGAAAGGCCGGUAGAAGAUGCUGGGACUGAACCGGAAAUUGCUCUCCUCACGACCUCACCCUCCCCGACCGCAAGUUGGAGUCGCCGGCGUCGACAGCUGCAAUUGUGGCAGGACCAUGCAUGGCCAUGGGCCCAUGGUGGCAGUGAGCAGUGCGCAGGCUAGGCUAGUGGCCGAUCGAUUCACUUGGCCCUGGCAGCACCAGCAUGCAUGCUGCAUGCAGGAACGUGUUGCUGCUCUUGGAUGACUUGUCCGCCUUUCCAUGGGUGGAAGUCAGGAGCUGUUCAGUGGCAGUGCAUGCCAGCUUCGUAAAAAGGCGCAGCUGCUUUGCUUGCUACGCUGGCCAUUAGAGGUUCUCGAAACCAGGAUCCUUUCGCGAAAGGUGUGGCAGCCCCGUUUUCUACUCGAUCCAUCUCAACAAAAGUUUGCGAGGAAAAGACACACUUUUUUUCUUUUUGUCUUUUUAGGAGUAUUUACUCCUACUCUGAAAGCGAAGCUCGUGGGUAACAACAUUGCUUGAUCUCGCAUUUGAGUAAACAACUGAUCGAAUUAAUAAAGUCGAUGCCCAUGCAUGGAAGUGAUCGAUUGCCACUGGCUGAGGGCAAAAGCUCAGUGCUUUUUACUACAGCAUUUUCAAGCGUGGCCGAGAUCAAGGUGAUCGAGGUCAUAUGCGAUCUCUGUUCUUUGUCUCGUUGUUGUCAGAAGACACGGUUCUUCGGAGCCCGAUGAACGUUCACGAAACACUGAGCCGGCCGGAAACAACUCCGAAAGCUGGCAAAACCUGUCCAGAUCUCUGCGUCGCCACUGGCUCACUGCGCUCGCUGCAACUUGGGGUUAAAAACAGCACCACCUUGCUUCUGCACGCAUUUCGCACUGCCUCUGUUCUGCUCUACUACAGUAUCAUAUACUAGUACACAACAUGGCGCCUGUGACAGAACAGUGACAUCGGGAGCUGCCUGCCUGCUUUCCUGGCUGGCGCCUACCGGGCCCCUAGCAAUGCAACCAGUGCCUCGUAAUCCUGACACGAUUAUUUUUAUACUAGUGCUAAUCACGGAAUGCUCCGCUAUUCUCAGGUCAGCCUCUCCUAGUGACCCUAGUCUGAGGGCAUUUUGCUUUUUGUCAUCUCUACCCGGCGCGUCGUUAGCAAGGAAUGCUGCCUCCUCCUGGCUCCGCUAAACAAAUCGGUUCUAGGCUUUGACGGUGGUGAGCGCGAGGCUUGGACCGACACCGAGUUGCGGGCGGCACGGAGAUCGUUGGGGCGCCCGUCCGUCGGGCUUGUUUGUGAGAGGGAGUUGCCGUGGUUUGGAAGCUGGUUGCCUGGUUGGGAGGAGAGGAUAACCUCGUAGCGCAUUGUUCGUUUGCUCGAUCGUGUUUCGGGACUUGUACGCGGGAUGUGCAUGGGCACUCAAUGGUGCUUAGUUUGUUGGAUGGCCAUUCCUAUUUCCUAUUGUUUUCGUACCACCGUGUACGGGGAGUUUGAGCGCGCGUAUUCGUUCUACUCUGAGUACUGAAUAAACUACUAGUACACUCCUACUCCUUCGGUCCCGUAAAAAAUAUCCAUUUACACUCUAAAUUUUAUCCCACAAAGAAUAUCCUUUUACCUCGUAAUAAAUCUUAUCUAAUUAAAGCAAUACUCACAACAAUAAAAAAAACAUAUAUAGAAGCGCAUAGAGCUAAUUAAAUGAUCAAUUGAUGUUAUUUCUUUGAUCCCAAUAUACAUGCAUUUAUUUAGGAUAAAGAAAAUUAAACAAACAGCACAAGUUUCAAUCAUAAUAAGUAUUAGUUAUUGGUGGCAAUAUAGACAUUUCUCAUCACUACUUAUGUUUGUGAAAUUUUCUGAACGAAACACUCUUUGCGGGAUGGCGGAUGGAGUAUGUGUUAUGUUGUUUUUGCAGGUGCAAGUACGUGCAUAUUACUCGUCUCGCUCAACCGAGAGACAUCGUAGCGCGCCGUGGCGGCAUCUCUUGGAAUCCUUCGGUUUUUGUUUGUGCGCAUGCCGCAUGGGCUUUACAUGCGAUCGGAGCAGCAAACGCCACGGCUGGGUGCUUUUCUAUUGAAAUCUCGGACGGUCGCCCAUGCCUGCCUGCCUGCCGCUGCCGGAGCCGGAGCCCGGAGGUAGCGAUAACAGAGAGCGGCGUGCCGGGCUGGUUUUGGCGCGAGAGAUACGAGUGAUAAAAUUUAGCAGUGUCACAUCGGAUAUUCGGAUGCUAAUUAGGAGGACUAAACAUGAGCUAAUUAUAAAACUAAUUGCAGAAUCCUGUGCUAAUUCGCGAGACGAAUCUAUUAAGCCUAAUUAAUCCAUCAUUAGCAAAUGGUUACUGCAGUACCACAUUGUCAAAUCAAGGACUAAUUAGGCUUAAUAGAUUCGUCUCGCGAAUUAGACUCCAUCUGUGCAAUUAGUUUUGUAAUUAGCCUAUAUUUAAUACUCCUAAUUAGCAUCCAAACAUCCGAUGUGAUAGGUGCUAAACUUUAGCGGGUGUAUCCAAACACCCCCUAAAGCGCGUGCGUGCCGUGGGAUGGAGCGAGCAAGGCCACUGGGGGUAGGGCCGCGAGCACGUCGCGCCGUGGGCGGCCUCGUGCGCCACGCGGUCUAGUAGUAGCAGUACACGGCCAGGUGUGAUCAAGCUGCCGCGCAGGCCGUGCCGGUCGAGUGGAGGCCGAGAGCUUCCGCGUUGUGCCGCUAGCGGGCGGCUCGUCGCGGUCUCGCGGGAACGAUCAAAUAAACGCGCCUGGAGAGCGUCGGCGGGGGUGGAGCCGCGGAAAAGGCCCGAGCAAACGUGCCCGCCUAGGGAGCCGCCGAACCGGCCGGCAGCUCCGGUGGAGGUGGUGCGCCGUGGAGAGCGCCGCAACCGCGCGGCGACGGAACGGCUGUUCGUCCAGGCGCUUGCGUGCGUGCCGGCUGCUGGAUAGUCUCAGAAGUCACUGGGACGGUCAUCGGAUCGCCAAACACGGCGCCGUACGUCUCGGUCUCGAUUGGGUGAUCCAGUACGAGCAUGAUGAGAUGCUUCCGACGACGGAACCUAUGCGACGCGUUCCAUCUUUUUUUUUUGUGCGCGCGCUAAUACAUAGGAGUAUAUUAUAAAUAGGGCCUACCUGUAGGUGACGUACUCUACAAACGCAGGGGAUUCGCGCGCCGCUCGCCUGCCUAGUGCGUGCGACGAUUUUAUCACUGGAGAUGGCGCCGAUAGCAUGAGGACGUGAGGCCAAAAGGGCAGCCACAAACUCCCAGGAUUUUCCUCCAUAAAACAACACUACUCCCGCCGAUACCCAAUUGACAAUUGCAGCAGCAAGUCCAUUUUCAAUCUCAAAACAAAACAGCUGAAAAACGAAACAGAGGUUCCCCGCUCCCCCAUGAACGCCAAGGUCGCUUGACCUGCCCUGUCCCAACUCACCCGGCAUGUGCAGCCAUGCCGUGCAUUCUACGCCCGCGCGGCGGCUCCCCCGACCUCCAUCUGUCAACGCGCAGCAUGGUCCAAGGAUCCAAGGCAACGCCGCCGACCACCAUCGUGGACGUACGGACCUAGCAUCUCCCCGGAUAACUCAUCAACUCCGCCGCGGCAUGGUCACAUCCCAGCUCCGAAGAGAACAAAAAGGAGGACCCGGGUAACGUGGACAUCAACCGAAAUCCGCCUCGGAUCCCCUGCGCCAGCGCCAUCCGAUCGAGCCGACUAGGUUCGCCGUCCUCCCGCCGAACGGCCCGCAAGGCUCUACCUCUACGCCAACCCGCACGCGGCAGCCACGUGAGCCCUCUCUGGCCGUCCGUCAAGCACCCCCAACGAACGCGGGCGCGGCCGCCAAGAUGCGCGGCAGAGGCAGCCGCAUGUGCCGGCCGGGCACAUGACAUCUGCAUGUGUGUGUGGUGUGCGGGUGCGGCGGGAGGGGGGCGUCGUCCGGAGCCCGGGGGGAGCGGACGCAGCAGCUGCGCCUGGAUGCCGAUGCCGAUGGAUGGAUAUGGCCACAAGGACUGGAGAUCCAUGUGCAAUCAUUUUGACCUUUCCUGUCCAAGAAAGGCCAUUGCGGAGGACGACUCGGGUUUGGACGGACUGCCGUUGUGCAUGUGGACGACUCUUCUUUGCUUCCCUGCACGGACCGAGGGCAACCGCCGUCUGUCCAUCAGGUACCAGGGUAGUUUCGUUGUCUUGUCGUGGCCUUGUACACACGGGACUUGAUAUCAAGUGGCCUGACCCGUGGCCUGAUUGCGGAGGACGUAUCGAUCCGAAACGUUCAAAGGCGAUAUAUCAUGAUAAUGAGCAAUGGCUUGUGCUUUAAGAUCUCUGUUUCGUAUGCAAGUGAAAGUCACCAUUCAAGUGCUCAGACGCUUUCUAGCCCCUGCUUGGCACGACAAUUGUACGUGAAAGUUCCAUAACUUUGGCAUUGCUCUUUAUCCUUUAAUGAGAACAGAAUUAUAUUAACAGGAGCAAAUUCGUAGGUUACCUUGAGGCUUUAAUGAUGGGACGUCAGGUCUAGAAAAGGCUUCAGGAUAAGAUAGUGCAUGUGUGACGUCAGCAUCACACAAAAAUCACGGGAAAGCAGAAGAGAGAUUCUUUCUCUCGCACCUUUGACGACAAGACGAAGUGCCUGAAUUUCUCAUCAUCGCUAUAAAGCCUAUAACUAAAGGACCUACUGGUCUAUCGGAUAGCGUUUCACAUCAUAUGCUUUUUUUUUUAGCAUCGUUUCACAUCAUAUCCAGUGUAUGACCAUAUAAUAGCAAUCUGCACCUGUAUCCUUUCCAGUUCAGAAAUCAGAAUAAUCAUUCAUCUGGAGCAUUUCAACCUUGAAAUCACGGAGUCCAUUUGCCAUUACUAAAAGUAAAUGAAGUUCAAUUCCGAUUCCGGAGCAAAUACCUGCAGAAGCAGGUAAAGCUACAAUAGUUUGCAUACACAAUCGCAUAACUUAAUCCUAGAAUUGUGCCAUAACCACAUCAAUUUGCUUAAACUUCUGAAAUGUUAUCGUACCCUAAUUUAGAUGGUCGGAGGCCCAAUCAGCAUCUCAGGUCAGCAGCAAAAUUUCACGUGGACCAGAUCCAACAUCCUGGCCCUGCACGAACGGGUAACAAAAGCUAAAUUUCCGUCCCCCCAAUCCUGCACGCCUACACUACAUGUCAGACACCUUUCGAGCCCUACAUAGCUUAUGAGUCAGCAGGGCCUGUAGCAGUAGUGGCCACAGCGUUUUCUUUGGCGCCAUCCUUCUCCUUCUGGCCGGCUACAUCAUUGUCCUCUUGAUCGUUGCUCGUUUCCUUCUGACCAGCUACAGCAUUUUCUUCUUUUUUAUCGUUGCUCGUUUCCUUCUGGCCUGCUACAGCAUUUUCUUCUUUAUCUUUGCUCGGUUCCUUAUCUGUGCUCUUUUCCUUCGGUGGAAUGACAGGAAAAUCUUCCUCCGGUUGCCGGUGCCACCGGAAAUUGGCGGCUUCGAUCCAGCGUGGGUGGACCAAAAACUUCUUGUUCUUUACAGCCCAGCGGGCCUUUUCUGUUCCCAGAUCCACAGCCACAACGUGGGUCACUGUGGAAUCUACAUCUGUGGAGCAAACAGCGCCCAGAUGCUCGGCCAUCUUCCACAUCAUCUGCUCCUGUGGGCGAGAGGUAUUUGGGAACACCCGACUGAAGACAAGUUUGCAGCCUUCCAGGACUUCCUUUCGUACUGUCUUGAUCACCUGCAUAGGGGACACACAAACACGAGAAGCAGCCCACGGCAAAUGAAAUCUGUAGGCCAUACCAUGGUAAACAAGUCGUAGUUGAGUCAUUUUAAAACUGACAAACGCAACUGUAUUUGCUACUAAGAAUAGUUCUAAUUAUUUUCAUUACGCAUAAACACUAUCCGUCACGAUUAGUUUUGCAUGUGAUAGUGAUAUGUCCACAUUCCACAAAAUGAUGACAAUUAGUGCAAGCUAAAAAACAAUGCUUUGUUUGUAAAUAUCAUAAUAACUCUUAAAGUAUAACAGACAGCAUGAAGGGUAACUGUAGGUCUAGUGGCCUACCUGUCUUACAUCCCGUGAAGAAAGAGCAGUUUCAACAGCCUACAGACGAGAAGUACAAGAACAGAUGGUUACAUAUGAAAAACUUUUGUGCUCACAAGAUUCAGGUCUACUGUGAGGAAUAGACUGUAGAAAUAAAGAGCCAUAAGAUGUAAUAAAACUAUAUACUGAAGCAACAAACCGUGUCAAAGAAAAUUGUGUGUAUGCGCUUCAAUACAUCUAAAACGGUGGCCAAAGCACCAUCACUCUCCCUUUCAUCCUGCAUCGACUCUGACAAAGAUUUAACACCAAAACCAAAUUGGCGGCAGCUUGAAGCAAAGUAAUGAUAUCUCUCCAUCAGAAUCAGGUUCUCUUUAUGCUUCUGCCAGACCUGGAAAAAAAAUCAUUUCAGGCUGGCCAAACAUGAAUGAUAAAUUACAAUAAAAGAAGAAAUUAUCACUCUGAUCGAGAAAUAAAAAGCUCCAACCAGCUUCUAUGCUUUGAUAAAUGUGUGUGGUUGUUUCUACUGUUAAGUUUAUAUGUUGGAAGAAAACAGGAAAAUACAGCAGAGCGACCUAAGAAAACUAAACAGCAACCAGAGUAUUCUACAACAAGACAUUGGGACCUAGCUUGACCAAUGUACUCAUGGCAAAUAAUGUGACUUCUGUUUACAUGAAUUAAAAUUGUUUCAGAUUGGGCUGUCCUGUUGGGUAAAAAAUGACACAGUUGCUGAAAACAAUCAAGCACUUACAUAUUCAGUGUCAUCAAGAAUCACUGCAACACUUUCAGCCCCAAGAAUCACAUCAAGACCUUUCUGGUGGCGCUGGGUGCAAUCUGAGUUCGAAAUCACUUUUGAAGGAAAAUAGACAUUACUAGGGUCAAGAAGCUUCGCUAUUUCAAUUGCAUAAGCUUUGUCACCCAUGGUGUAUAUAUACAUCUCAAACAUAUUGCUUGCUUCUUUCAAAAAAUUACGAACAAAUGGUCUCAACUUCGUGAGCAUCUGCAUUGAAUCUAGUGAGAAGAUGCUUCUGUCCGGAUCAUCUGCAAUUAGUACAUGAGGGGUUCACUAGCUAUAUUAUAUAUGCAUGGAUAAGCAACAGCAGUUUCAGCAAGGAUCAAAGGACAUGAAACAAGGACAACAGGGAAGAUGAUAAUGUCUACCAUAAAAAAAUCUAGCAUUCACUAGAAUUUAGUGAUCAUAUAAAAGCUGUUGAUCAUGCUGCUAAAUGGGAUCAAACUUAGAAAAGACUUGUAAAGUUCAUUUGUGCGUAAUAAAAAUUGAUGCUAACUGCACCAAGCCAUAAAAAAGGUAUGUCUAAGAACAAAUUAUUGAGGUACUAGAGGGUAAAGUCCUUAUAGUAUCAAUCUCUAACUAAACAACAUUAUGCAGGAAAUAGCAAAAGCAUACAGACAGGCCAUGAGUAGUGGCAUUUUAACCUCUAUUUUCUAUAUUGAUAUGCUAGCCGCAUUGGCUCUGCCCUUGGAAAACUGUAUGCAUUCCAGUCAAAAUUCAGACAUACAUGGCAUCUUUUCCUUUUCAUUGUCUGUUAGAGCAAUGACCCGACAUUGACCAGUAUUUUCAAAUAAUUUUGUAAAUAAUACAGAUUUAAAAUUAUUAGACAGAUUUCAAAAUUAUAAUGUAUAUUUAACUCAUGCCAUUUCCCUGUGGUUUCUAAUACUUUCAAAUAAAUUAGUGUAAAAAUGAAGUUGAUUAAGUAAAUCAUAACAGCAUACCAGCAUCUCUAUAAUUGGGAUCAGAGGUGGUACCUUAUGGUAAUAGAAUAUAAUUUAUAAAAAAAAAACAUGUUCUCAAAGCUUAAAAAUACAACUAGAUACUAUUACCUUUUAAAGCAGCAGUCCGAAUACCCAACUCAUUCUCAGCAGAAGAAAUAUCUUGGAGUUUGGUCGAGUUGAUCAGUGUAUGAUCCAGGUCUAAAAUAAGCACUAGUUUUCUUUCACGCAGCAGAUUCUUCAAAUCAGCGCCACGUAAUCUGUCAAUUUCUGAAGUACCUAGCCUCAAGCCCUGCAUUUUAAUAAUUCUCCUAAAUUUGUAAAACUGUUUGGAGAGAAGUCACUAUGCAAGUACAACUGGAAAUGGAAAAAAAAUGAAAAUACAGUGCCAACAAUGGUCCAAAAAUCAGCAUUAUAUAAGCCAGGUGCGAUAAGGAAACACCGCACUCCUGAAAUCUAUGUUAAGAUACUCCUAAAUUAUUUUUUGCAUUCGGUUUGACAAUACCUUGUGGAUGUAACCAAAAGCAACUCCUGAAGCAUCUUCUUCAUCUUGUGGCUUGCCACAUCUAAAGCAAAGCCCCCCAAAAUAUCCAGGAUGUGGACAUACCUCAACUUGAACAUUUUUAGAUGGGCCUGAUAAAAUACACAUUCAAGAAUUCAACAUGCCACUCUAUCACACAUGGACAAUUGGACAUUCAGUGCUCAAUAUAUGACAAACUAAGCCAAAGGCAAUUGUAACAGAAGAAAGAAAGGAAGAUACCCAAAAUUUUGGGGAUAUCAUGAAAAACAUAAUAGCCCCCGCAGCCGGACAAUUUGUUGUAUGAAAAAACAAAAAUAUAAAUGACUGACAGUGGGUUCUACUUUACAACUCUGAACAAAAAAAAUGUGACAGGGCAGCCAUUUGUUCAAUUAGUGCAUUGAAUAAAAAAGGAAACACAGUGCAGCCUAAAGUGAAAAUUCUACCCAGAAACACCACAUUUUUUAGUAUGUGAAUAUGUCCCCUUUAGCUGCUAAACUUACAAACAGAUUUGCAAAGCGAGGCUAACAAGCAUACCAGUGGCAAUUUUGUCAGGCCUAAUUGAUGUUCCUUGAUCUUGGCUCUGUUCCUCCACUCUACGCCUUUUAGCACUGGAUUUUGCAUGCAGUUGACAGCAGUCAGAUUUACAUUACAAAAUCUACAAAACUAGUCAUGAUUAGUUCAUUCUUAACACAACUUCAUCCCAUGAAUUUUUCUCAUCCUUUUCCUCAGAUACUACUAUACUAGGAUGCUCUCGUCAUCACUAUCCUCAAUGAUAACACUCUUACUACCCAGCAUGGAAGGCCACCACGCUUGAUACAAGUUGUACUAAGGUUAAUCAUCUGAUGCAGCAUUUUUACAGAAACAUGAUAUUUUAUACCAUCAAUACCUCCAUGAUAUUGUAACUGCUCAUACAGUUCUGUUCAUAUCAGAUUUGUCUUUAACAUCAGAAAUUUGAAUUUCAUGUGAAUCAGUGAUCUAACAAGCAUUUGGAUGGAUACUGAACACCAGAAAAUCAAGCACAAAACAGGAAAGGGCAGCCACCUAGCCUGCCUAGUCACUAAGCACCACCAGCAACCGGUGCCUAACUCAAAAACUGGAAUUCAAUGAUCUACCUGGACCUCUUUGGAUUAGAAGGGGUGGAUUAGGAUUUUAAUUAUUAAACAAAAUCCUAAUUCAUAAUUAGGUGUCAUCCUGCCCUGGCACAUGCCAAAUUUACAACUAAUAGGCCCCAAACCAAACAUGAGGGAAGUGAUCUCUGAAGUAACACAAGUUUUGAGCAAACACACACAACUCUCUUUGAAAUAGAAGAGUUAAUAUGGCUUGCAGCAACAAAGCACAUGUGAAUUCUAUCAUUUACCUCAUAGAUAGGAUGACCUUGUUGUCAGUAAACAGAAAGCUCAGUAACCAUUUACCUAACAAACCCUCCCGAAAAAAAAUCCCCAGGUUACAUUUAUUUGGAAGAUUUCUGGUGGAAGGACUGCAGCACAUGCUAGUAUGCCUUGUUCUAGUUUCAGCUUGGAAUAGCAUAGGCUGGAGACUGAAUCAGGACAAACGUAAUAAAUCAAUCUUGCAUACCACAAGAGGAGAUUGUAAGAUAGAGCAAUGCCAUCAAAUCAACUGGUUACAUGAAUUUCAGAUUCCAUACUUCACAUAAUAUAAAGUUCUGACUGAAUAGUCAAUGUGAUUAAGUGCGCUCAGUACAGGAGCAAUACAAAUUCGAGUAAACCCUAGAAGGAGAUAAAAAAAAACUUUCAGAAUCACUAGCUGAUCCACCCAGUUUAAGACGCCGCGAUGCAAGUAACAGGAAGCAAAAACCCUCGAGCAUAUGAUCUACCCAAUCAAGCACGGAACCCUAAUAAACUCAAACCGACGCAAAUCUGUUCCUCCCUACUCCAAUGGCGAAGCCGAUCAUCUAGCUCUAAAUGCGCGUGGAAUCAAAGGUUAUAAUCGCGUACCGGAGCUGCCAAACCCAUGGGGCCGUCUAGUGGCGAAGUGAGAGGAGGGAGGAGCGUGGAGGCGGCGCGUACCUGUUCUGUUCUAGGAGUUCAACUUCCACCUCCUCCGAAUCCUCAUCCUCGCCCUCGUCGUCGGUAUCGGGCGAGGCGGAGGAGGGGUCGCCAGGGAAGGCGGAGUCGGCGCCGGAGGCGAGCUCGAGCUCGGAGUCGAGGAGGGCGGCGAAGUCGUCGCUUCCGCUCGACGACGACGGGGACGGCGACGGCGCCUCGGCGAGGCUCAUGGGCGCGGCGCCGAGGGCACAGCCGCACAAGGGCAAGGAGCUCGUCGGGUGGGUGGGGAACGAAACGACGGAGCCGAAAAAAGAGGGGAAAAAACAGGAAAGAGGGGAAGCGAAAAUGGAAACGAACGUGUAAAUAAGAAGCGAGCUGGGCUUUUCUUGUUCUGUCCAGAGAGUAGCCCCGGGCAAAUUUUACCGAGAACUGAGAACCGAACUAACUGAAAUCAAACCGAACUAAUCAGGAACUGAAAUUUCGAUUCUCUGUUCGGUUCUCAGUUAAACGGUUCCUCUCCUUGGUUAACCGAAGAACCGGAGGCCCAGCUUGCGUCUAUUGCUUCUGCUCGACCCCGGAGGCCCAAUAAGGCCCAGCGAGCGAGUAGCCCUAGCCACUGCCCACUCGAGUCUCCACACGCCGCGUCCCGUGUCCCAGCCUCCUCACCCACGCCGCCCGCCGCAUCCCCACCCGCGCUGCCGCUGCACGCGCCUGCCCCGGCGGCCGGCGCGCCCUCCUGGAGUCCCAGUGCCCCCUUGCGUCCUCCCGUGGCGCUGCAUCCCUACCCGACGGCCAGCACGUCCUCCCAGGACGGCGUCCCAGGUGAGCUCGAGCGCGCCCGCCAGCACGGACCCCGACGACAAGUGAUCCUGGAGCAGCGACGCCUUCCCGCCGCUAGCCUGGCCGUCCUGGCCCUCGCCCUUCUGCCCCUGUCCCUGCCACUGCGCGCGCUUCAUGUGGCUGAGGUUGAGCUCCAGCUUCUGCAGGUACCCAUGCUUGAAUGAGUCCCGAAUCCGGAGCGAUGGCCACAAGUGCAUCUUCUUCAACGGCGCGAGAGGGGGUCGGUCAGACUUGGGGCAUUGACGGCACCGGGGCGAGGACGACGGCGAGGAGAAGCGUGAACCAUUUGGUCAGUUAGUUCGGUUCGGAACCAGAACUGAACCGAACUACCCGAAAUUGAACUUUGUCGGUACCGAUUUUUUGAAGAACCGAUCGGUACCGAGUUUCCUUAGAACCGAACUUCAUCAAAAACCGAAAAACCGAUCGGUUCGGUUCGGUAGUAUCGAAUGCCCAGGCCUACCAGAGAGAGACAGAGGAGGAGAUGAAUUUAUUUUAUUUUAUUUUAGUAUUUUGCAAAAUAUAUAUGUUCAAAUAAAAAAAUUGCAAAUUGCAAAUCUAUAUGCAUAUCUUCAACUUCCCUUCUAUGGACAUCAUAUCUUCAAAAAAUUAUAACUAAUUUAUCUGAACUCAGAUGGAGAUACAAUUUGUAUUAAAAUUGUAGUUCUUGAUGAGAUCUACAACGUUGUAGUUCAAACUUUUUUUAUUUGGAAUCAUCUUGGUGUUCAAAUAAUCAACACAAUUGAAUUUUAGAUCUUAACAUUGUGUCGAUUAUUUGAGCACCAAGAUGUUUUCAAAUGAAAACAGUUUGAACUAAAACAUUAUAGAUCUCGUAAAGAUAUACAAUUUUCAUGCAAAGCUUAUCUCCAUCCGAGUUCAUAUGAAUUAGUUAUGAUUUUUUAAAGAUGUGCUGUCCAAAGAAGGGAAAUUCUGCUGGAUUUUAGAUCUGAACAUUGUAUCGAUUAUUUGAGUACCAAUAUGAUUCCAAAUGAUAAAAGUUUGGACUACAAAGUUGUAUAUCGCAUCGAGAUCUACAAUUUUCAUAUAAAAUUUAUCUCCAUCUGAGUUCAUAUGAAUUAGUUAUGAUUUUUUUAAAAUAUGAUGUCCAGAGGAAGGAAAUUGCGCCGGUUCAAGGUUGGUACAGUGCACUUCCACGGGUUGAAUUGGUUGCAGCUGUUUCAAACGGCGCAUAGGCGGUAUGCGUAUAGAUUUACAAUUUUUUUAUUUGGAUAUAUAUUUUUACAAAAUGCUAAAAUAAAGAAAUGAAGAAAUAAAAAAAAUCGGCGAAGUGUGGCGGGCAGGCAAAUUAGUUGGGCUUUCCCCCAAAAGAGGCCCAAAUGGCCGCUGAGCCAAGGAGAGAUCUCUCCAUUUUAGAGCUGGUGCAUUCCCAGCUCAUUGCGGAUAUCCACUCCUUCUGAUAAGCCGUUAACCAUAGCUCGCGACAUAGGCCGUCCGAUGUGGGUAGGUUCGGGUCCCUCACCCAGCAACCCGUAAACCCAAUUGCUCGCGAAUCCUCUCGAACUGCUCGGCCGACAACCCCGUCCUCUCCGCGGCUCUGCCUUGCAACUUGCAAGCGCCGAGGAGGCCAAUCCUCUCAAACUGCUCGACCGACAACCCCGUCCUCUCCGCGGCUCUGCCUUGCAACUUGCAAGCGCCGAGGAGGCCAAGCAGCGCACGGGUUCCGCCGCCUCCGCUGCCGUCUUCGUCUCCACUCUCCUGCACACGCGCCGUCGCCGUCGCCCCUCUCCAUCAGCUUCUUUCUUCCCGCAGCAGCUCCCCUUCCUCGCGAGCUCCGACCAUCACGGCACCAUGGACGGGGAGUGCGAGAUGCGACCACUUUUCCCCGUAUCUCCGCAUAUCACGACAGCGUGGCGCUAUUCGCUCCACUCUCUCCGCCUCUCUUGCCGGGUUCAAGCCUUCAAGGCGGAGUUUGUUUGUUAUUUCCCAUUUGUGGGCCUGUUCGCUUCAGCUUAUUCAACCGACUUAUCAGCCACCAAACAGUAUUUUUCUCUCACAACAAAUCAGCCGUUUCAGCUUUUCAACCGGCUUAUAAACUGAAGCGAACAGGCCCUGGUAGGCACGAAGGGCCGUACGUAGUUGAAUCUUUUAUUAGCUUUCUUUCCAUCUGCUGCAGGGCAGCAUUGUAACAUGUCAUUUCUCAGUCGCUCUGCAUGCUGUAGAAGCACCAGGAAUCCAAAAUUACAGCACUCCAACGAAUAUACGAAAGGGAACCAGCAGAACAAUACAAAAAACUCAUAUAUUGUUGUUGCAACUUCGUUAAACAAUAACCAGAAGCCCCCUAUUAGCAAGAUUUGAGGAGUUGGUCUGAACUCUGAAACUCUUGGUAGUUGAUAUUGAACAAAUUGGCCGUACCUAAUUUAUUUGCACACUCAAUUAAGCAUUUCACCUGCACUUCUUUCAAAACAUAUGCUGUGUACUGUGUACACCUUCAUCUCUGAUGAUUCAACUCCUUUUUACAGCAGUAACUCUGUUUUUUAUCAUAUUGUUUGUUUAGACUAAACACAAUCAUGUUGUGUUUACACUAAGUAGCCUUUUACUAUCUAUAUAUCCAUCCAGCAUGCUUCAUGGAUACGGCCACAUGGAUACUGCCAUUUAUAUGGAGAUGAUUCACUGUUUCAGAUAGAACUGGAUAAAAUGAUACAGGGCUCCUUGGCACGGCUUGGGACAAAGGGGCUUCAGCUUCGCGCUAUAGUAACGCGCAUUAUUUAGCACCGUGCGUUACUAUUUAGCACUGUGCGUUACUGUAGUAUGAAGCCGGAACGGAUACCGAGACCUCAAAAUGAACUAAGAAGGAGGUGAAGCCAGUGAAACAAAAAAAUGGCUCCUCGCGGCUUCGGCUCUGCCUGCUACAGUACUAUUACAGUCGCGAAGUCGAAGCCCCCUAAGCCAUACCAAACGAGCCCAUAGUAUGCUGAAACUUCUCUGAAGCUGCUAUUUCUAGAGCUGGCACUACGGGAAAGCUAAAAAUUGCCGAGUGUAUUUUUUUUGCCGAGUCUUUUUUUGCGAGCACUCGGCAAACAAGCUCUUUGCCGAGUGCCAAGCCAAAAACACUCGGCAAAAAAAAUACACUCGGCAAACCGGGGCUUUGCCGAGUGUCAAAUAAAAAACACUCGGCAAAGCCCCCUCUUUGCCGAGUGUCAAAAAAACACUCGGCAAAGAGGGGGGUUUGCCAAGUGUCAAAAAAAACACUCGGCAAAUAGGGGGGGUUUGCCUAGUGUUUUUUUUGACACUCAGCAAAAAAAUAAUUUUUUUUCCUCUUUUCACCAUGAAAUUUUUUCUACUCCCCACAUACAACAUGGGGUACUCCAUGUUAAAAUUUGGUAUAUUUUUGGAUUUAUUUGCUAUAUUUAUUUAAUUAAUUGCAUUUCAAGGAAAUUUUUGGUAUAAGUCAAAUUUGAACUGCAAGUGAUUCAAAUUAUGGAACAAAAUGAGUAGAAAAAUGAUGUUCAUGUUAUUCGGCCCAAUUUGAGACCUGACCCAUGAAAUGAUAAGAAAUUUCGAACAUCUUGUUUAGGAAACACGACCACGAACGUGUGGCAGUGGUAUUUUUAAAUUAUAAAAAAACAAGCAAAGCCUGAAAAUCAUGAGAUUUGUCAUGAUGUGAUGAUAUCAUAGGUGGAGGCUGUGGAAAAAAAUUGAGAAUGUUUUGCACAUUUCAUCACGUACGAUGUUUACAAACCGAAGCAUUUCAGAAGAAGAAUAGUAACGUUGAGAAGGAUUGCAUAAGAUUUGGAGUCAAAAUGACGGUCGAGUUUUGAUUUGACUACAAAACUUUUUGUAUAGUCAAUAGAGAAUAUAUAUUAUUUCAUGUAAUUUUUUGACAAUUUUUUAAAACUGUUAGAUAUUUUUAAUUUUUUUUAAAAAUAUCUUUGCCGAGUGUCCUAGGUUAGACACUCGGCAAACAACUGUUCACCGAGUGUCACCCUAGGACACUCGGCGACCGUUUUUUUUUCCAACCGCAAGCCUUAUCCCGGCCCGCACCGCCCCCGGCCCCGCCGCCGCCCGGCCCUCGGCCCCGCCGCCGCCCGGCGCCCGCCCCCGGCCCCCCCGCCGCCCGGUGCCCGCCGUCGCCCGCCGCCGCCCCCUUCUUCCCCUCCGGAUCCGGCCUCUCCUUCCCCGGCUCCCUCCCUUCCGGCCGGAUCCGCGCCCCCUUCUUCCCCUCCGGCGCAGAUCCGGCGGCCCCCACCUCUCUCCCCUCCGGAUCUGGCGCGUGGCGGCGGGCGGCAGCGGUGUGGCGGCCGGUGGCGGCGUGGUGGCCGUGGCCGGGGCCAGCGGCCGACGGCCGGCGGUCUGUUUUUUUUUUUCCGAAAAUGUUUGCCGAGUGCUCGAUGUUCGACACUCGGCAACUCCACGUUUGCCGUAGGAAAGUUCGCCGAGUGCCGUUCGCCGAGUGUCCCUGCUGUUUCCGGUAGUGUGGGGUGUUUGUUGCAGUAACUCUGCUUCCUUCCUAAGCAGACGACGCCUAAUUGGAUCUCUUAUUGUGGUUGGUGUAAGAGAUGGAGUCCUUAGGCUUGUUGACAUGUAAUAUAUACCCUCCCCUCCUAAGCAUCUCAUUUUCUUUAUUAAAAGAGCAGUAGUACUUCCUUACUUCCUUAAUGCACGAUGAAUGCUGUAGAAUUGAAUUUUGUUCAAAUAAGUUACAUUGCUACCUUUUCUUCCUCUUUGGCAUGCUUACCUCGAUAUAACUCUUAUGCAUAUGCUUUAUCACUCACCAAUCCGUGUAGCAGCAUAUGGAGAAGAAGAAGAACAAUAUAAAUCCAGCUAUGCAGGGCAGCUAAGUAACUCUUAUGCAUAUGCUUUAUCACUCACCAAUCCGUGUAGCAGCAUAUGGAGAAGCAGAAGAACAAUAUAUAUCCAGCUAUGCAGGGCAACUAGACUUAGCCGAGAGCAUCACAAUGACCUGCCUCAGUUUAUGCUGGGGUACGGGUUGCAGUGAAGCUUUUCAUGUAGCGUUUGAGAAUUAUUAUAAUUUCCAUUUAUAAUAGCAACUGUAUUUCUAAACAUCAAAUUCGGUUACCAAUAUUCUCUGCUUGUUUUCGUUUCCAAAGAUGCCUGUACUAUAUUUGAUUACCACAGCCUCCAACAUCCUUGUUAUAUUUUGUAGAAUGAAAAUCUUAUGUUCAAGAAAAAAAAACAAAGAAGUAUAGCGAACAAAUUUAAAAAAUUGAUAUGAUCAUGAGGACCAUCGCUCGCACUGAUUAUUGUAGUGAAAAUUUUUGAAAGUCAGCCAAUGCCAUGAUCAAAUAAAAUUCCUAGAGGCUGUUUUCUCAGCCAGUCGAUGCGCACGAACCAAACAAUAGAACUGGUUCACCAUUUUCUGCUCCAAAACAUCAAUUUCCAAAUCAGACAUGAUAUGUACUAUCAUAUUUUGCGGAAGAAAAUUACUUUGUGCACUGAAAAGCGUUAUUAUUCUUCUAAUCUCGGUCACGAGCCACACUGAGCGUGUCAACGACGCGCAAUUGUUCUAGUAUUUUCUUUAAGUUGGAUUCCCCGCGACUCAACAAAAAUUCAAUAGAAACGUUAUGAUUGAGGUUAGGACAUUUAGGUCUUGGUAUUUGAAAUUAAGAGUUAGGGAGUAGAGAAUUAUCUUGAAUAUGGCGGGUUUAGAGAGAUUACCAUGGAAGCCGUCGAGGGGCUAACAGUGGGGUGGAUGGUCGAUGAACAAUAAAGGAUGGAGAAAGGAUGUCUAGUAGUAUCCAGUAGUGGUUAUUAGUGUUGGUGGCGAUCGAGGGUUUGUCCUUUGGUGGUGGUAGCACGGCUAGAGCCUCAGAUGAGGUGAUGGUGUAGGUGGAGGCGGGGCGGCUGAAAAUAAGGAAGAAAUAGGUGUGCGUCCUCAAGAGAGGAGUAGAGAGGAGCUUCCAAGGAGGAUCAGCCUCAGUGGCUGGAAAGAGGGAGCGAGGUGGUGCACGCGGGGAGCUCAUGUUAAAGGAAUAUGGAGUAAGAAUUGGGCGAGAAGGUGAGAAUUAGCAUUAAAAAAGGAUGGCUCGAUCUACCGUUGAAGAUUUUGAGUAUGUUGCCAGGAUAGCCAGAGGGCAUGGCCAGUUGAUUUUCCUGCUAGUUGACGUGAGAUGGUUGUUGACUGUGAACGACUUGGUGACGGCGAUUAUAUGCUGAGUUGAAGCAGGCAAACAGAGAGAGUAUGGAAACUGGUCAUGGGCCAGACAACUUAGCAAAUUUUGGCUCGACAAUAAUACAAGUGAAACACGGGUAUAUGAUGUUGGGCCCACGUCCAUUUUUAAUCAAUUUAUACACAUACUUCUUUUUGCAUGAAGGUGAUUGAAAUGCACUUGUGAAUGGUGAUGGAACAUCGGUGUGUUGUUGGGCCACUUGUAAAUAUUGAUUUGGAUUAAUCACUUAUGUAAAGCCUUUUUCCAAAAGAAAAGAAUUUGGUCUAAAAGAGAACUUAAGUGAAGCAUUUCAAGUUUCCCGCUCAGCUCCACUCUCUGGAUUAUGAUUUUCCUCUGAUGGUCGUUUCAAAAGAAAAGAUUGAUAGUCUGAUGUUGUCAUAUUCUCGUUGCUACCGAUCGGUUUUCAACAAUUUCAGUGCCGUAUAAGUUUUUGGCACUAGUUAUUUUGAUAGAAAAUAUACUUGGAUCCUUUUAGGCCGUUUUCACUUGUAAGGUCGAGCUUUCUUCAAAAGAAACCCCUACCAUUCUGCCGCUGCUAUGUCCCAAAUUAAGGACUCCCCCCCCCCCCCCCCCCCCCUCCGAAGCGUCUUUCUCACCGGUUCGCCAACAACUCCCCCAUGCACGCCGUCUGACUUACUUCCUUGUAAUUUUGGAUGGCUAAUAUAUGGAUCCGGACCCACACACUAGCCAUUAGGCACAUUGAGGGAGCCUCGUCCUGGUGUAGUCCGUUGGGAUGGGGGACCGUGGACAUGGGAGAACGAGGAUCACAAGGCCUGGAGAAGAAUACAGAAGACGCGAACGUGUAACUGGAUAUCAAGUGCAUGGGCCGGUUUGGAUUGCGUGGGCACGGAAGCUCGGUCACCAUUUGCCUGCUGGCCUGUUUCUCUUUCGUUGCCGAUCGGUGUCGCCAGAUGCCAGGGCUGUGCAAAGUUGAUGAGGACACUAGACACGGGGUAGUCUCGGCUGCAAGAUUGCAUGUCUUUUCUGCUACGAGGACGACCUAUGGAGAAAGUCAGGAUGAUGCAUGAUGGCCGGACAGACGUACAUUUGACGUCAAUCGAUCAUUAGACCGGAGGUAUGACUGUACAAACACCACUGUCUGCAGACACGGAGACGCAAGAUAUCGUGCUGCCUUACACUUCCAAACCUGCUCUGAGCACUCGCGCGAAAAAGAGAUAAAGGAAACGCGUGUGGUGGGACACAGUACAAACCUCGAGAAGCAAUAGGCUAGGGCCAGCGACAAAACGCAUAACGAUCGAUUCGCUUGGAUUUUCGCAUGGUGAUCUCAAAGUUACUUCUCUUGGCCUCAUUUGGGCUGCAGACUGUUCAAUCUUUUCACGGGUCACGUUCGUUAGGCCACGCUCUGGCACUUCAUAUUUUGUCCACAUAUUACAGCUCCUUGAAGGAUAGCACCGAGAUCACGUUCGUGGCCACCAUGAAAUAUUCUCAUUCCGGGCUCGCGACUUCUCUAAUACUGCAUCUGUCUUGUCCCACACAUUAACUGCAGCUGUUCAAAUGAAAAAAAAAGGUACAAAUUCUAACGCAAGUUGAGACGCCGGGUUCUGGUUUUGUUCAGGAUAGCAGCAUAUGAAAGAACCCUUCUCCGAAUUGAUUCCAGGAAAAAGAAUACAGAUAGGACAGCUGCUUGAAAAAACUAACUAGUUCGGGCAAAUAAGGCUGCUCCUGGUAGCUAAACCGCCACAUUAUAAAAAAUAUGAUUAAAUUGAUGUGUACGCACAACACCUCUAAAGCAUUUACUAAAGUGUGCCUAGAAUAUUAACUAUAUUUUGUGCCCAUGCAUAAGACAUAAUUGUACCGCAUCAAAAAAAAAAGCAUCCAACACAUAAAAAAUAUUAUUUAUUAGGCUAGCAUAAAAUGAGGUAGCUCAUGAACUAGCCCGACAUACAAGACGUCUCUUCCGAUCGGUUGGUUUAAUUUGGGCAACCCAGCACUUGGUACUUCAGGUUAGCACUACUUUUUACUCUCAAUCGAUCAAUGAAAUCUCAUGUUUAAUUUCCACGGCAAGGAGCAGUUAGUGCUAGAGAGACGUAGCCUCUGGUCAGGGGCGGAGCUUGGUGCAGUAAAUCAGCUGCUGUUUCUUGAUUUUUAGAGCAAAUUAGUAUGGCUGCCCCUCUCCCAUCAGUUUCUCGAGCUCCGCCACGCUAAAGAGGUCGGUUCCCGGAGUUGAUGAUCACUUGAACCUGCUAAAUGGUUUAGUCGUCGCAGCCGUGCAAUGCCGGUGCUUUUAUUUGCGACCAAAUGAAUCACCAUCUAUAAUUGUCUAAUAUGAUGUCGCGACUAAUUAAAGCCUGACCAGCUAAACUUUUAGCCCGUACGUCCAAAAAUCGUGGCCGCGGAUGGUUAGAAGAUCUAAAAAAAAGGGCAGGAGCACUCCCCCCUUUUCCACCAUCGUGGUGCCGCCGCUCCGAUCCGUUGCCCGCGCGCGCCCAAAGCGUGCCGCAAGCUAGCGCCCCCGACCACGAGUCAACCCAGCGAAACACGAGCGCCGAAUGGAAAGAAAAUCCACCAAGGUUUGACGCGAUCCAGCCGUGCGGAUCGGAGCGGAGCGCACCCGCCCCUCGAGGCCCCGGCACACGAGAUCGCCGCGGGAUCCCGCCCCACCCGAGCAGAAACAGGCCGGGGAGUGGAGUGGAGUGGAGUUGGUUGGCACGGGGGGACAGGUGAAGGGGAGAACCGACCCAUCGCGGAAAGGCUCGGGAAGAAUUCCAACGACGUGACGCACAGCCCGCACGUGCUUUGCCUUUGUGCACGAGAUUGUGACCGUGCCUUCUCUCUCGUUGCCUGCCUCCUGCAGUUCUGCGCAACGUCAAUCAGGUUGUCCGUGCACGGUAUAGUACAACAGCAAUAAUGGUGCCGCAUUAAUCCUUGUGUCUCUAAAAAGAAAGUCAUUCUGUAAUUUAAAAUUCGUCCUACAGUUCUUGCCAUUGUUUUUAUCGUGCUGCAUGAGUAGUACAAAUUAUCAUUAAUAAAUAGUGACAAAUAAUAAGGUCAUUUCAUACUUUUAGUAAUUUAUCUAAAAUUUGUCAAGAGUGAUUUUAUUUUGGAGACAAAUGGAGUACUUACGUAUUCGGUUUAUUUCUGAAGUUGCUCUAAGCUAAGCACGAUAGAACCGACCGACCUUCCUCGACAAAACACAAAAGCAAUGGCCUACAGCAGGCGCGCAAUGAUUUUUACUGCUACUCGUAUCACCCGUAGCUUUUGUGACCCUGGCCUAAAGUCACAUCUCUUGGCUCCCUUUGGUUCCUACGUUGUCCAAGCUUAUCGACAUGCAUAGGAUACACAUCAGCUAGUUGGGCCACCUCAUACUGGGCACUGGACCAUGGUUUCCAUGGGUCGCGCUCCGUUAGGCCAGGAUCUGGCACCUCACGUUUUGUCCACACACACACACCGGCCCUCAAGGCCCCAUGCACAUGCCCGCUGCGAGAUCCAUCACAUUCGUGGCCACCAUGGGAGAUUCUCAUUCGGCCCUGCAACACGUCCCUAUCACAUACAGACAUACUGCAUCUCUGAUCUCUCUCGUCCCACAGAUUUUACUGCAGCUGCUUUCAGAUGUUAUGGGUGCAGUGCAAAUUUUAAAGCAAGCUAGAGCGCCAGGUUUUGCUUUUGAUCAGAAUAGCAUCGAAGAACAAAAGAACAACCCUUUGUUAAUUAUUGGAACAAAAAACAAAAGUCCAAAUAGGAACCCAAGCUGUUCGAAAGAGAUACGUCCCAUUUGAUACCAGGGGCUAAACUUUAGUCCCUGUUACAUCGGAUGUUUGAUACUAAUUAAGAGAAAUAAGCCUAAUUACAAAACUAAUUGCAUAGAUGAAGGUUAAUUCAUGAGACAAAUCUAUUAAGCCUAAUUAGUCCAUGAUUUGAUAAUGUGGUGCUCCAGUAACCAUUUGCUAAUGAUGGAUUAAUUAGGCUUAAUAGAUUCGUCUCGCGAAUUAGCCCAGAGCUUCUUUAGUUAGUUUUAUAAUUAGCUCAUGUUUAGUACUUCUAAUUAGCAUCCGAACAUUCGAUGUGACAAGUGCUAAACUUUAACCCGAGGCCCUUGGUACCUAGCUAGAGUUUGAACACGAUUACAAAGUAGGGUAGCCAAAUUGAAGAUUGCAGUACUGCACUUGUGUGAUCAAUGAAAUCUCUCGUUUCGAUGGCGAAAAUGAAGUAUUUUGAACGCGUCUAAUGUGUAACGGCAGAUCAUCACAUUGUGCGCAUGGAGAAGGCACAUAUUAUAUGCAUGGCAAAGCAAGAUCAAUUACUCAUUUACUUCUACUACAGCAUAUGCCACCUCAGUUGCCAGCAAACCAUCAGUCCAUCACAGCGUUUUCUUGGUUGAUAAAGAUGGCGAGAACCAAAGGAUCAAAUUAAGGAUCCUGUGGUAGAGGUGGAUGGUGAUCGGGUGAUCCCUUAAUUUGCUCGCUAAUUUUAAGAAAUUAAUCAUCUGCUGAGUGCUGAUUGAUUGCCCCGUCGGUUCAGGACGUGGCGACCCAGAACGCGGCGGCCUGCUCCGGCUCCCACUGCUUGCUGCCGCGCCGCGCCGCCGCCGCGGCGUCUUCCGGCUCCACGCACCGGCCGCCGCGCACGUACUUGGCGACGCCGUACUCCUCCUCGGCGGCUUCUUUUACCUCCUCCUCCUUCUUGGCCUCUGCUUCUGGCGAUUCUUGUCCGUGGCACGCGGCGGCGGCGGCGGCAUUGCCUGCGCCGCAGGGGAGGAGUGGGAGCGGGAGGAGGCGCAUGCGGAGGCGGCCGCCGCUGCGCUCGGCCUCCACCCCGGGCGUGCGCACCGCGUACACGGCCAGCCGGCCGUCGCGCCGCUCGUGGACCAUCCGCACGCGGCUGGCGCCGUGCGCCAGCGUCGUCAGCGGCGGGGGCAGGGGCCGGCGCCUCCUCUCCUCCAUCUCCUCCGCCUCCUCCUCCCGGGCGCGCCGCUUCCUCUCCGCGCACUCCGCCGCCUCAGCCUCCGCGUAGCCCUUGUCGGCGGCGUUGCCGACCGGCGCGGCAUCGACGGCGCCGGUCUCGCACCCGAGCGCCUCGGUGCACAUCUCCAGGUUCUUCUUCCUGAUGCCGCAGUACGCCGGCUUCUUGGCGACAACCGCCGCGUGGGCGACCGUCACGUGGCGAGGCUUCACGGGUUCCUGGACGGCGUACAGCGAGCCCCAGGCGCCGGCGGCUGGGAUCUGCGGCGGUGAGUCGAGCAGCGAAGGCAUGGUGGAUGCAAACACACAGCCCACACACGAGAGACAGAGACACACAAGGGUGGAGGAGACGGCUGGUGUAUAUAAAGGUUUGGAAGGGACGCUGAUCGAGGGGGCAAGAAGAUGUGAUCGGGAGGGCAGAGGAUGUGGCGGCGACGGCGACGGGAAGGAGGCGCUCCGGCCACGAGAAGAGGGCUGCACCGGCGUCGCAGACUCGCAGUACGCGGCGCUGGCUGUCAGCUCAGCUGUGUAUUGUGGGGAAGAUCAGAGCCGGGUGGCACUCGUUUAUAUAGGGCCACGAGGCCGGGGAGGGCAGGGGCAGGAUUGUAAAUUAAAUUCCAGCUGGUUAUUUAGUCACAAAAAACGAUUGUUUAUUGCCAUAAUGGCUCUCUGACUGCGAUUCCAUUCCAUCCUGGUAGAAGAAGAAGAAAAAGGGCUAAAUGCACUCACGGCUGCUGUGGCCCAUAAAGGUAGACCGGAUGUAUUUGGACUUGUUGAUGCAGUAAUAAAGCUUUCGGCGCUGCUUUGCAACAUCGAAACAAAACAUCAGCAACAUUAAAAAUCUAUAAUUGCAACAAUAAAAAAAUAUGUGAAAAAAUGACUACGUUGUUCGACUCCGGCAUAGAAAACUCCCGCCGCAACAUGUAACAUUAUGUUUCAUGCAACAUUAAAUAAAAAUGAUGAAACAAUAGUUGCAACAUCAAUGUUGAACUAUUGAAACAUACGUCGAAGCGUCCGAUUUUUUUAAGAUUCCGGAUGUCCGUACUGCAGCAUUACCGUAAAGAUUUUUUUUCUUAAUGCUAUGAGUUAGUGUAGAAUUACAUAAUGUUAAGCCUUUUCAAUUUGGAGCAACAAGAGUAUCUAGUUAGUGGUGGAGCUAUAAAUUGAUAGGAUGCCUACAAAGUUUCCAACCGAUGCGUGCGUAGACAUUGAAUCUACGUAGAAAUUGGAUAGUCACCAAACAUCCCAUUUGCGUCAUGAGCCAUCACUCGAGUUAGCACUUUCUCUCUUUAUUUUUGUGUUGAUUAGCAACUUUCUCUUUUACUAGGCAUGUUAUUAAAACCUAAUAUGGAGAUAAAUUAAGUAGAGAGAAUGUGUGUCAUAUAUGAGGUAAGAGAUCGUCAUCCCUAUCAUUUCAGGAUCAUGGUUACUUAUGAGGUACUAUAAGAACAAAACUUAAGGCCACUUGAAGUGUGAAAUAUGUUAGAAUAUAUUGGGAAAUCUCCAUAUAUGGCAGAUUAGGAUUGAUUGUAGUUCUAGGAUACAUGCCUUAUCUAUAAGAUAGCCUCCUACUCUCCCAAGCAAUGUACUCUGUAUAAUCCGCUCAUAAAACUCAAGCAAUACAAUAAUAAUAUAUCAACCACAUUAAACCACUUCUCUAGUCUCCUUGAAUAACUUUUUGUCACCCUGAAAUUAAAUUGUUUCAUGUGACAUCCAUGCAUUCCAGACAAGCCCUUCAAGGUUGGCCGUACAAAACAUGGUAUAACUGUUGACAAACAACGAGAAGAACAGAGAACGAAAUGCUGAGAAAAAGGUCAGGAGAUGUAGCUGUCUCGGCCUCCCGGGUUCCCUCGGUGGUGGUCACUCCGAUGACUUAACGCCACCUUAUAAUCCUCAAUAUUUUGAUCCGCUCUCACCGUCAUCCAUGUCACCCCCAACUCAUCUCACGAAACUGGGAGCAAUGGCGUCCGCAUCACCUGCAUUCGGCCCCUUGCGUUGCAAAGAUGGGUGCCUCCAAUCGGAUGCUUUUUGGAGGGCACGCUGUUCACACGUCCGGAGAUUUUUGUUGGACGAGGGACGACGAUGCUAUGCAAAACGUGGACAGAGUUGCUGCAAAGCUAGCUCAUGCAUGCACUUGUAAUGUUGUGGUGGGUUGUUAAUUAAGAUCACCUUGACUAUCUGAUUAAGCAUUCUAUCUAAUACUUCAAUUCAAAUACAUAAUCACUCUUCCAAAACAACACAAUGACUUCAGCAACCUGAUUAUUGAUCGAUCAUGAAUAAUGAUGAAAUCACGUAACGCUACAACAUCUCAAGGAUUGCUGUCGUGACCCCUCGAUUAGAAAAUCCAUCGUGGAUGCUCUUGGCCUUUACCCAGCAAGCACUGGUCACACUCGAGAAUUGAUGGUUCAGAAUUUACUAACUAAAAAUCAAAAUCUUAGUUAGAAUUGACAUUUCUUCUAGCAAAUUCUCUAAGAAAAGGAGAAUGUCGAGCAAUUUCUCAUCUUUGUUGACGGUGACAUGAGGAGAACCAUGCACCGAUUGGCCCUCGGUGGCCUCUUUCUGAAAGCAGAAUUUCGCAAGCGGGUUGCUUUCCGCUGAUUUGGUGCUUCUGUUGUGGUGUGGAUAAGAGUAAAUCAUGGGUGAAAUGUGCGUGCCUCUCACAUCUGUUACUAAAGUUUGCCUAUCACCUAUUGGCGUAGUUGGAUUUUCAGUUUCAUUCUCAGACUAUCCGUAUUCCUAUCCGUAAGGAAGAUAAAGAAAGCAACGCUUGAAAGUUGCAGAUCAUAGAGUUGAUGUUGAGUAGUAUCUACUACAUGCCAAUUUUAUUCCCGAACUGGAUUGUAUGGCAAAAUAUCUAAAUUUGGCAUAUGGGGAAAUGAUUAGUAAAUCUAGUAAUUCUUAUUAAUGCAUCUGGAGGAAUUUGUUGAGAAGCAAAGUCCGGGAUUACAGCUGAAGUAACGAAGAAAACUCCAACAAUCAACUUUCACUGCUGAAAAACUGAGCAUUGGUUCUACCCUUUUAGUACCGUAUGAUUUUUGACCUGGUACUAAUGUGAGCAUUAGUACCGGAUCUAACAGCUAGUUUCUCAGGAGCCCCCCGUGAACCCCUUUAGUACUGGUUGGGAGCUUCAACCGGUACUAAAGAUCACCCAUUACCAGAUAGAGUCUCCACCCGGUACUAACCCCAGUCCCCGCACCCACCCCGUGCGCCUCCUUAUCCGCUCCCCCCUCCCCCCACGCGCCAUCCCUCUCUCUCCCCUUCCCCUCCUGCCACCCCCACUCCCCCUCCCCCUCCCUCUCCUGCCGCCGCCCCCGCCCCUAAAUCAGGCCCUAUCCCCUCCGCCUGGCCUCACCUUCUCCCUCUCCUCUCCGCCCUCUCCCUCUCCCCUCUACUCUUAGCUCCCCCCGAUGACGGCGAUCGGCCCCUCUCGCCCCGGCGACGGCCGCCGCCUCUCUCACUCCCUCCCUCCCUCCACUUCUCACUCUCAAGGCCGGCUAGCACCUCUGCCUCCCCUCCCCUCCCCUCCCCCCUCCGCUCGCCCCUCACUGGCAGUGAGGAGCAGCGGCGGGGCAAGGUGAGGCGGCGACGCGCAAGGUGAGGUCCGAUGGCGUGGACGGGGCGAUGGUGGGUGCGGGUUACAGGCCACAACGACGGGCGCGGAUCUGGAUCUAGGUGUGUCCCUCUCCCCCUCUCCCUCCAUUCCUCUCACUCGGCUUGACCGCUGGCAAGGGGCCAAGCACCCGGUAGGGCGCAUCUCCGGCGAGGGGCCAAGCGGCCGGCAGGGGUGUGUUGGCCCAAGGGCGGUGGCAGGAGGCAAGGGUGGCGACGGGGGCAACGGCGGUGGCAGGAGGCCCGACGCCGACCCGCUAGCUCAGGUGCGGUGGCGGGGUGACCGGGUGCGGCCGGUGGGAUGAAGCUCGCCCCACGGCGGCAGGGUGCGGCUCGGGCAUGGGCCGGUGGGAUUUUUUUUUAAUUUUUUAAUACCCUUUAGUACCGGUUAUUUGACCCGGUACUAAAGACCCCCCUUUAGUACCGAAGUAGCAAUACCGGUUACACAACCGGUACGGUACUAAAGGGGGUUAGGAACUGGUAUCGAAGGCGCUUUCCCAGCAGUGUUUUUUCAUUUAUUCAAAUUACUGUGGAUAGGAUUUUAAAAAAACAAAUUAGUUUUUCUCCGAGCAUAAAUUUGUCACAAUUCUGAUGCAAAAGGUGUAUUUAACUCAAUUUAUCAUUCCAUAUUUCUUUGAGGUAUGCGAACUCUCUCCUACAUAUCAACUUAAGUACUUAAUUCCAAUUCAUCUUGACAACUUUUAUUGAACUAUUCUUAUAAUUUUGACCCAAACUUUGAAACUGUCAACUUGAAUAAGUAACCUUCAAUUCAAAUAUAACCUAAGACCUUUAAGACUCAAAUAGUACACAAAUAUUAAACCAAGAAAAUCGAAGACUUUCAAUUGAGAAAAGUUAAUGAAUCCAACAAGGGUGUGGCUAGCUACCCGUAGGCGACAAGAUAUUUCUAAUAUAGAUAUAAAUUAAUUUUGAGUGGUCCUUAGGUCAAACACUAAGCACAUAAUAAAUCAAUAAGUAUAUCGGUAAUUUGGACGGUUGAGGUAGUUGCAUGUUUAAUUUGCUUAACAUAGGCCUAUAACCUUGAUGACCUAUAGGUUCCAACUUUUGCAUGUUUUAGAUUGGGGUAUCUAGGGUUGGUUAUGUGGUACCGACCUAUACGUCGGUCUUCACAUUAGUACCUGUCUUUUACCUUCUUAAGAACAAAGCAUGUCCGACAUAUAACUCUCACAAUAUAUUAUUGCUUGCCUUUUUCCUUCUUAAACGAAAGCAUUCUAUAACCUGGGUUUUCUUGCAGAGCUGAAGAAAUGGCUGGACAAUGUUGCUCCAGGAGAGAUGACAUCAAGACGCCUUUUGCUUUCAGUAGCCCGGCCCCUUUCGUGACCACUUCAGCACUUCUGCUCUUUCCUUGUUCCAAACGCGUACCAUCAAUGAAUCCUAGAUGUUCAUAUUGAGUGUGACAAUUCUAGUACCUUUUUUUUUGGCGUUGUGCGGAUCAAAAAAAUCUGCAGUUCGAUCAAUGAUAGAUCAUGCCGCGGUCUCGCUACAUUUGGAAGUGGAGGAUGGUAGAUUUCUUAUCUCUGGAGUUGUGAUGCUCGUCUCCAUUUCGACGCGCGUGCCCCUGGUAUCUUUUCCGCUAGAUAUUGUGUAGGGUUUCAGAAAAAUUGGUAGAGCAAAGAUAAAGUUACAGAUUCAAUGUUGGGAUUUGGUCACCGGUGAAUCAAAGAAAGUGAUUGAACUUCCUCAAACGGUAGCAGCUAAAAAACCUAAACAAAACAUACAUGUUGUGUGAAUACUUUUACUGCACAUAAAAGUAAUGGAAACCAUAGGUUCAUCUCCCAUGUCUCUGUUUCCUUAGUUAAGAAAAAAAAACUCAUUUCUGUAUCGACUCUAGAGCCGGAUUAAUCACUUAGAAUUUGGAGACACUAAGAUUUUAGGGCAAUAACACUGAACAAACAACUUUACUAAACAAGUAAGCAUUCAUGCAUGCUGAAAAGCAUGCAAUUGAUCACUGAUUCAGAGAUCAAACAGACCUCUGAGACAAGCCGACAACACUAGCAGAAAAUGAACGGCUACACCACGGUGAUGCACGAGCAGGCCACUAUCAUCUCCCCUAACGGCAUGUUACUCUUUACACGAAUUGCGAAUCGCAUGCCAAUUAGCUAGGGAAGCCGGCUUGUCGCUUCCUAGAACAAAGUGAAGCCUAUGCACCCUCUAUUCCUUGAACACACGGCAAGCGCAGUCCCCACAAAACCGAUGGAAGAACCAAACGAUGGUUGGGAGGUGGCACCACAUACCGCAUGUAAUCCUCAUGGACACAUACGUCAGUGACUGUGCAACAACAAUAAUCAUAUCAUCUUUAGUUUCUUGUUUAAUUAAACAAAGCCCCAACAAGUUAAACUUUAACACAUCUAUGCGUGAAUGAUGUCGACCUAAUCACUUUUUACUUUUUUGUGAGAGGACUAAUCACUUUUCACUCGGGGAUCAGCAAAAAAACAAUCGCGCUAACCUUUCGCUCCUAUGCCUCUCAUGUGUCCGACGAGUGUUUAGCUGAAUCCAGCACCACAAAGGCAAUGAUCCGAUGGUGAGCUGCUCGUCAGCUCAUGGUUUGUACCCUAAAAAAAGGAAAAAGUUUAUGCUCUGCUGAUGAAGGCAGUGCAGGCAAAAGGGGCCUGGAGACAAACUUUUGCAACAUAUUGGUAAACAAGGACAGACAGUGGAAUAGAAGUAGGCAGCUAGGCACCCACUAGGUACUAGUUUUGGUACCUUGAAAAAUCAAAUGCUUGUUAAUUAUUAGAUCGUGAUAGAAAAUAAAUUUUGGUCACCAGUACAUUGCUAACUGGAAUGCAUAUAUGGACUUUACGGGAACCUUUUUUCCAAUCCUAGAUAGGGAAUAAGUUCAGUUUGGCAUCUGUUUCUGUAGGUUCAUGAGAAAAAUUUUAUAUAUUACUGGAAAAGUCCCGGAUUCCUUGCAUAGUUGUUUACUGUAUUGUUGGCUAUGGAUACAGGUUUUAAUUUCUCAUGAUCAUAGGGUGACCAAAACUUAUCCAAUUGAAUUAAUUUGGAUUUCAAAGCGUGGAAAACGGAACGGAAAUGAACUAAGGUGCCAAGAUAACUCAUAACUAUCCAUUGGGUGCCUACUCGUAUCCCUAAAUGUGACUAAAGCUCUUCUGUGACUUAUGUUAAUUACUUUCAAUAUACUUUGAUCUAAAGAGAAGUCGCUGAAAUGUCACUGCAAAAUAGAUGUCCUCACUGCCUGCGCAAAUGGUCCUAUUCAUUUAUUUAUUGACCCAACUUGAAAAUCUAGCAUUGGCGAGUACGGAAAUCAUUUUUGCUGUGACAUUUCAUGGUUCAGGGAAUUUUUCAAUGGCACAUAUAAAAACUCAAGUUCAUCCACCACCGUACGUUCUAGUCUCAAUACCUUGAAAAAUCAACUGCUUGUUAAUUAGGUGCUAGAAAAAAUUUAGAAUGCAAAAGUUAUUUGGAGGAUUAUUUAUAUUGCUCCUGGGUUGACUCCACCUAGGUCUAUAAAUCAUAUGCUACGGAAUUGGUUAACGGGCAUAUAUAAUAAGAUAAGAUGUUUGAUCUUUGUAGGGGUUGCUACUUUUAUGUGGGCGAUUUGGUGUACUCAAAAUGAUAUAAUUUUUGAGAAAAAAAAGUUCACCUCUUUUAUGUAGACGGUAUUCAGGGGUGAAAGGAUCUUGAUGUUGCCUAGGGGGGUGAAUAGGCGUAACCUGAAAUCGUUGCCACUUAAAACAAGUUUAUCAGCGACUUGCGGAUUAUUCCAAAAAUACUUCCGGAGAUUCCGCAAAUUACAGAAUCUCCAAAGAAAUUUCUGGAAUAUCUGAAAAUAGGAAACACACGCCUUGAGAAGCGGAAAGAAAAAAAACUUUUUGCCUGAAAAUCGAAACUUCUGGUUUCAAAACCGGAACCUCCGGUUUUGGCUCGAGUAGAGAGAAAUCCCAAACCUUAUGCGUUGCAAGUGAGAUAAAGAUCAAAUCAUGUUUAGAAAGAUGCUCAGAUAGUGCUUCUUAGUAGGAUUACAAAGUUCCUGCACUUCACAAACACUAGCACCCGAGUAGAUCAACCAAUAUUAUGAGAUCACAAUGAAAUGGAAGUGCAAUGCAAAUCUAAGCAAACCAGUGAGGAGACAGUGCUUUGUUUCACUGAAGUUCAGAUUCACCUCCGGGCGAAUCCUACAUCUCCAUUGGGUGCUUCCAAAGAAGCCGGGUUGCACUCAAUCCUUUCCCCACUUCACUAGCUUCUUCCCUUUCGAAGGCGAAGCUUGACCUGCACAAACUGUCUCGUGGCUUACUACACCUUGGGAGCUCUUGGGUGACGCCUAGCCGUUUAGGAGGAACACCUCGAAGAGUAAUAAAUGCUUCACUUGAAACUUGACAAGGCAAACCAGUGCUCAAGCAUAUGAGUGCUCUUCUAGUACUCUCAAAUGACUCCUCUCUACUACCCAACUCACAAUAUCUAGCAAAGAUCACAUUACCUUACAAAAAGGGGUUGGGGAGAGCUAUGUGGCUUUAGUUCAGCUUAGAAUAGAUAAGAAGCACACCAAUAACUGUAAAAACAGCAACCAGCCACUGAGGGGGUCGUGGGGUAUAAAUACUCCACUCCCCAAAAACUAGCCGUUAGAGUUGUCAGACCAAAACCGGAACUUCCGAUUUUCCAAAACCGAAACCUCCGAUUUUUCAAACCAACUGGCCACUAGGGGUUGAGUUCCGGAAUUUUCUAGAACUUUCUCUAGAAACUCUGGAACUUCCAGAAUCUUCCGAAAAGUUCUUCAGAAACUCUUGUUUUGCCACUUCCUGAACCGUUAGUGUGUACGUGUGGUUUUUUAUGUCUCUCAUCCCUCACAAAAGGAUACUUGAGCACUGAGACUUUAUCAAAUGACCAUGUGAUGCAUCCCUCUUGAUAGUACGGCACACCUAUACUCAAGAUCAAAACAUAAAUACCAUAUUCAUCCUUUUGAGUUUCUUUACCAUGAACCAUGCCAUAUUUCGAUAAUCAUAUCUUCUUGAGAGCUGCAUCCAUCUUUGUCUCUUUGAACUGAGCACAUCAAUCUUGAGCUAGUGACUUGGAUCAAUAUUCAACCGUAUAUGAAUAAAAUCCUAUUUUUAGAUCACAAGUCACUUCUUCAUAUGACUCAAUAAACAUUUGAUGCAUCCCAUUGCUAUACUCGGUAAGGCUUGACUUGAUACCUUAAAAUCCUCCAAGCACUAGCCGCUUCACCCUAGCAAAGCUUAUGGCCCAAGUCACUACUUACCAAACUUUGCCUAGUACCUCGUUCCUAAUCACUUGCUUGAUUUUUCAUCCAAUCGCUGCCGCAUUGAGUCUAGCUUUGUUUUGUCAUCAAGAAUGAAAUCCUCUUGAGAUCAUAUCUUCUUUUGAUUUCUAUAUCCCAUUUAUUUAUAACAAGCUUAUCAUUUUAUUUAGAGAUCAACUGAUAAUCCAAUGCCAUCAUGCCUCUAUCUUUACUUCAAUUUGCUUGUCACAUAUCACAUAUAACUAUCAUGGGAUUUGCAUAAUAUUCCUUAUCAUGACAUUCAUCUUUAACUCAAGAAAUCUUGCGAUAUGAGGCUAUCCAAGCCUCAACUCUCUUUUACACCAUUGCUUGCUUAGAUGAACAAUGUCAUAUACCGUAUUUGUUCUUUUCACUAUAUGAGCCAUUUAAUACAAUCUUUCCUACAAAGAUUAUUCAUCAAUAGUAUUAUACCUACUCAUAGACUUAACAAGCUCAUUAGACCUUUAAUCACGUUAGCAUUCAACUCAUCAAAACCUACUAGGGGCCUAGAUGCUCUUUCAAGGGGAGCUUAUUGGCUACGAUUGUGGUCCCUGUUGUAGCGUGAAGACACAAAGGAAUUAGUUCAGGUGGCGAGUAAAGCGUUGGAAGUCAUCGCUUUGGAUAUCUUCGCAAGAACGGAUGGAGAAGCAAUAAUAGACUCUGCUUAUGAUUUUUUCCUUAAGAUAAGUGAACUUCAUUUCAGUGAUUAGUUGUUAAACUAAUUUUUCUGUAAGAAAGGUCGGAGACAAUUCUCUUUCUAAAAAAGAACAAAAUUAGAUAAAGAAAGUCCAGUCUACUUCUUAUAAAUAAUUUUAUUCAUCAUCCACCAUUCCUACGAUGGUAUCUAUCUAUAAAUCUACCUGAGACUUGGUAGUGAAAGGAAGCAUAAACAGAUUGUCAAAAGGCGCUGUACUAUUGUAAUCAGCCCUCCAAUGAGAGAGGAGUUGCAAGAAUUUGAAAGGAUUUGAUUAUGCUAUUGAAGUUUAUGGGAUAUUUUUUUUAUGCUACUAAAAUAGUCUCAGAUACCUGCAAAACAAGUUCGCCUUCAAUAUGUUGGUAUAUUCCCUUUGGUUGGGCUUCCAAAGUGCUUUUGCUACUAAGAAAAGCCAAAAGCCCAACCAAAGGGUAGAACCACCAGCAGCUUUCACAAAAGCAAGUGUUUUCUCGUAGUAUAGUUUUCAUAGUAGCUCCCAGGGUGCUUUUAGCAGCUGCGGCUUCCAAACUUUCGGGAAAAUCACCCACCUGCCACUCGUAAGUGGUGUACCGCUUUGUUUCUUUUCUUCUCCGCCAUCUCUCUCGCGUGCGCUUGUUCCCUCCGGCGACGCCCACUCCCUCUCCGGUGGCGGCGCCCGCUUCCUCUCCGACGGCGCCCGCUCCCCACUCUAGCGGCGCACGGGGGUUCAAGAUGCAGCGGCCCUCUCCGCCCCCCUCUCUCCUCCUCCGGUCCUCGGGAGGCGGUUGUCGGGAGCUUGGCCAGGCCUCCAGUGGUGUCGAGGAGCUUGGCCAGGCCUCCAAUGGCAUCGAGGAGCUUGGCCAGGCCUCCAGUGGUGUCGAGGAGGUGGUAGGUGGGGCGAAUGAUGUGGGGGUGCGGGCUAUUGGGUGGCCGUGGCGCACGGCCGGAGGAUUUGGCCGGCGGGUGCUUAGGGCGGCAGUGGUCAUAGCGGGUCGCAGGAUCUCCAAUCCUCGGCAGAGGAAGGCACGAAAGCGGCAAAGGAUUAGUAGAGGGGUAGGUGGGGAUGUGACGGAGGUGGAGGCGCCAGCUAUUGGAUGGAGGUGGCCGGAGGUGGGCGAAGUUGGCUAGCGGCGGGAGGAGCUCUGCUCGGCUUGGUUCUUCUUGAGCUGGUGGAAGAAGAAGGAAUGAGGGAAAGAGCAAGGAUCCCUCCGCGCCGUCUAGCGCUGCCCCUCCGCGUCGUCCGGCCGCGCUGCUGGCCCUCCUCACCGGCCGGCCGUGCCGCUGCCCCUCCUUGCUGGCUGGCCGGCCGCGCUGCUGGCCCUCCUCGUCGCCCCUCCUCGGCAGCCGGCCGUGCUGCUGCCCCUCCACCCUGGCCGGCUGCGCUGCUGGCCCUCCUCACGAGAGGGAUGACAGAGAAAAAGAAAAAAAAACGUGUCAAUGACUGUAGGGUCCGUAUGUCAAGGAAGUAUGAAUGACACGUGGGGUUCGCUCAUAAGUGUUCCCAAAAGGCCAUAGCUGUUUCACCAAACGGCUUUCAGUUUUCUCACAGCCCACAACCUACAACAACUUUUUUCACAGCUCACAGCAGCUUUUUCAAAAAUCAUAGUUCAACCAAACACACCCUAAGGUCCUACUAGCUAUUUGGUGACUUCUGUUUAUUGCCUUCAUUCAAAGCAGAGUGAUUGUUUGCUUAUAAAAGAAAGAUUCCAGUUCCUGAAGUGCCACAGCAAAAUUGACGUCCUUUUAUUGCCAUUACUUCUGCAAAUGGUAGCAUUCAUUAUUUUAUCCAAAUACUUAUUUGCAAGCAAUGGCAUUGUACAUGAACAUAUAUUUUGCAGGAAACUUUUCUAUGAUUUAUAAAUAAAAUCAUUUAUUCGUUCAUCCACCAUACCGUAGGUACUAAUUUAAUUUGCUAGCUUGAAAAAUCAACUGCUUGUUAUUUACAUUGUGCUAGAAAAAACUGGAUAGAGAAUAACUUCAGUUUGACAUCUAUUUCCCAUGAGGUCAUGCAUCAUCAACAUUCCAACCUACAUGCCCAGUAUCUAUUUGUAUAUGUAUAAGACUUGGUAGUGAAAGGAAGGGGGUGUUUGGAUACCCCUUGCUAAACUUUAGCACCUGUCACAUCGGAUGUUUGGAUACUAAUUAGGAGUAUUAAACAUAGUUUAAUUACAAAACUAAUUGCACAGAUGGAGUCUAAUUCGCGAGACGAAUCUAUUAAGCCUAAUUAGUCCAUGAUUUAACAAUGCGGUGCUACGGUAACCAUUUGCUAAUGAUGGAUUAAUUAGCCUUAAUAGAUUCGUCUCACGAAUUAGACUCCAUCUGUGCAAUUAGUUUUGUAAUUAAAUUAGGUUUAGUCCUCCUAAUUAACAUCCGAACAUCCAAUGUGACAGGUUCUAAAGUUUAGCAUGGGGUAUCCAAACACCUUCGAAGAAUAAACAUAGUGUCAAAAGGCAGGGCAUUAGUGUAACGUGGCCUCCAAUGAGAGGGGAGAAUUCCGAGAAUUUGCAUGGAUUUGACUAAUUGUACUCAGCACUUCAGCAGCGACGCACUAACCGAAAGGCUAGAUGCUCAGGGGCAGGAAACUGGUUAACUCAGAGCAGAAGCAGCUAUGAACAAAUACCCCUAAGAAAUUUGCGAAAAGCGCGAUUCAGAAUACCAACUGGACCUGGGGGAAUACAUUUGGGGAUAUGCAACUGGAAGAGAACCUUCCUCCAAUGCCCUCUUGUACGGUGAUGCGGAAUACCAACUGGACCUGAAUGAAUGCAUUUGGGGAUAUACAGCUGGAAGAGAAGAAAACCUUCCUCCAGUGCCCUCUUGGACGAAAACUAUGAUUAUUAGCGAGAGUACGAAAGCAAUCGCAUAAAGUUCAGCCCCCAAAAAAUUAUGAAAAGCAUUCAUCAAAUUGCAUUUUAGUAUAAUUGUUUAAGUACUAUAAUGUAUUGUUUAAUAGGAAGAAAUCAACCUGAAAUCAGCGUAUCAUGGUACUUAAAAGUCCAAAGAAAGAAUAGUUUAAAUGGCACAAGCAAACUUUGGACUUCCCUGGUUCAGGGACGAAAGAGAAUUACUUUUACGUGGAUGGACGUGGUGAAUGAAUUACUUUUACAGUGGUGGGGAGAGACGCUUCUCAAAUAAGUGGGUCAGCGGGUCUAGUUCAGCUUCUGCGUUUUAGUAUAAAUGGGAGCGGUGGGAAGAAGCGCGGCCAAGAGAAGCUGCAAAAAAGCAUCCCGUUUGGCUAGUAGUUUCAACUUAUUUUAAUCAUAAGCAGGAUUUAAGCUGUUCCAAACGGGACUUAGUUCUGUCCAGGGACGGACCUGCAAAAUGUACAUUCGUGUUCAACCUCUUAUAUGUGCACCUGAAACUUUCAGUGACAGCCGCACAUCUCCCUUGAGGAGCUCGAAGUUGAACAUGAUGAAAAUGUGAAACCGUGUGUUUAGUAAUUAGCAGCAUGGAACGAUACAAUCAAGGUGGUUUGGGUGAAAUAAUUUGAAUAUGUUUUUUUAGUCGAGUAUAUUUGCUUUGGGUCAGCUUGUCUGAAAGUGAUAAACAUCAUCCAGAAGAUGAAGAAUGUUCGUACUCUAGUGACGACGGGGGACAAUCGCAGUUGGUCCUUUUGAUUUCAGAAGCUUUUGAAGACCACUACAGGUACAGAUUACAGCAAAGACUUGCAUGGAAACAAUUAUUCGCGUUCGUUGGACUCCCUAGAUUAUUCAAAAUCACAAGUUGUUCGAGAAUAACAUUCCAACAAUGAACAGGAAAAGCUUUAAGAUGGAAUUUGUGAUGGUUAUCAUAGAGCAACGGAAAUGGUUAGAUAUUCUCCCCUCUUGCACAUUUGUUGUCUUUGUUUUCCUGUAAAUCUAUAAUUAUAAACUCCUUUCACAUUUAUAUUGUGAAUAUAUAACAGCAUGAUCAUUUCUACUGUUCCUACUCCCAACUGUUUGAAAUUGAGUGCUUGAAUAUAAAUGAGACACGAGAGACGAGUGGAUGAAUGUUGUAUUGAUCUCAUAAAGUCUGUACAUAUAUACAUAUAUAUACGUGAUAGAAUCUGUAUACACACACAUGGUGAAGAGGCACCACACCUCACAUCUAUUUGGUAUGAAGGGAUAAAUUUAAAAUUAGAUCACAUGAUAAAUGUUAAAUAACAUCAACUAAAACUUUGAAAGCAAAUCUUUUUCUUUUGGCUUGCGCCAGAAAAGGGAAAGAUUUAAGCUUAAAAAAAUGUAGGGUCGCUGCAGAUCCUUUACGAUAGCAUCAUCAGUUAUCAGGGCGACUGCCCAUCACUUUAGAUUAUCACUUGUUCUGAAUUUACAACAUAUAUUACAGAUUAUCAUAUACCGUAAAGGUAAAGGCACUAGUCAGUAGUCACUACGUCAACAUCAUCUCAAUAAAGUAUUAAUCAACAAAAAUUGAUUAGUAUAUCCAUCCAAAGAAUUAAUUGCAAAUAAACAAGGUAUAAACAAACGUGAAACCUCAUGAUCCAUGAAGAUUUUGGAUUUCAACUUUCAAAGUUUGGAGCUUACGCUCAACAGCAGACAGUUCACCCUGAACACCCUGCAACCAAUCUAUUUUUUGCUGACAUGCUUCCUGGUACGGUUUGCUGAUAACCUCAACAAAACGGACUAGGUUAUUAGCACUCUGUGAGAUAUCCUUUUGGAUAGCUUCAUCAACUUUCCGAGACAAUUCAUCGGCAGCCUUGUUAACCUUCUCUAUUGCAAGCUUCCGUCGACCAGGGAAACUUGAUAAAACAAUAAACCUGAAAAGGACAAUCAGUCCUUAUAUCAAUAUGGAUAUGGUUUAUGGUUACACACCACUCUUCCCAUUUCAUUGUCAACGGACUCGCUAAAGAAUAAAUUCCAAUUAUCAAUUAAGAAUUACCCGCCAGCUGAGCAAAGUGCAAGAGCAAGAAGAUCUUCAAGUGUAGUUGACAAAACAGACGUCAAAAGAGAAGCUGACAAUCCAGCAACGCCUAGUCCUCCAAAUGUUCCAAAAGCCUUCAAGUGCAAUAGCUAAGCUCAGAAAUAAACAUAACAAUGAUGAACAACAAAUGGAUAAUGAAGUGAACUGCGGCUUGAAGUCUUGCCAUGCACUCAGAUAAAGACAAAGCUUAUGAGUUGGUGAAUAUUCAGUAAAACUUAAAAUGCUUUUAAACCCUUGAUGCUGGUCGUAUUCUUACAUUCCAAUUCAUGAUGUAUGUAUAUUAUUUUUGAGAAUCAUUGCAGAAAAUAAGCAUAACUGCUGAUGUUUUUAGAGUUCUUCACAUCUGUUUGUGACAGAUCGCUCAGAAAACUUUCUUAUUCAGUGGGAAAAUAAAGUACAAAAGGAAAUUUAGUCAUCUCUUCUUGAUGAUUCCUACAUUUAUAAUCUUCUUAUACAUGCACGUGUUCAAAAUACGGCAUAGUUUAUAAUGGUGUGAAUAAUGAAGUACUCCCUCCAUCCCAAAUUACUAUUCGUUUUAGCUUUUCUAGAUACAUAGCUUUUGCUACGUAUCUAGACAUACAUAUAUCUAGGUUCAUAGCAAAAGCUAUGUAUCUAGAAAAGCCAAAACGAAUAGUAAUUUGGGACGGAGGGAGUAGCUUUUUGUCAAAGCAGAUAUAAAUCAAAUAGUUUAGAUUAAUAAGAGCAAAGUACAUUAUGCCCUCAAACUAUUACUUCAGAGGUUUAAAUAUUCUGGUAAGUGGUGGUAACACAACUUAUGAUUGUUUUCUCUCGCAGAUAAUCUUCAUUGUUACAAAAGUUCCUAACAUAAUUACCUUCAUUGUCCAAAAUGUACUGGCAUGAAGCUUGUACUCGUGAAAAUCAUGUUGCUAUCAUUCUUUUAUUUAUAUAUGCAUGUUACAAUAAACUGCAGUUUUCAGUAUUUCCCUAGGGCUUUCCAGUGGUUUGGCCUAUUAUCCUAGUUAGCUUGUCCUAAACAUCAUAUAUUUGAGAAUGGAGGUAGUAUAAUUUAAUAUCUGUGCUGAAACUUCAGCUUUUGCCCCCCAUAAAUCUAAGUGUGUUGUACUUCUUGUAAUUAGAGCCACAACAAUAGGGCAGCAAGCAUUUUUAUUUUGAAACAUAUCAAUUGGCAUAAGGAGAAUCAGGUCCAUAAUAAGCAUACCACUUCUCGGAUUUCUUCUUCAAAAACCUUAGCAGUAGAACUGGCGUCAAAGCCAUCCAGUGCCUUUACAGUGAGUUUCUCUCCUUCAUUAACAAGUCCAUUUGGAUCUGACAGGACCCUUUCUUCCUGAGCAACCAGUGCAGCCCAUCUUUUGUGGAAACAUUCCAAAUACAAAUUUGCUUCACGUGUAUUGCUUGAACUUAGCCAUGUUGAAUAUUCACCCAGUAUAUUCUAACAAAAGAAAGGACUUUUAAUGAUAACAUGAAUACGUAAGCAUGCAACACAAAUAAUUAAAAUAUGAAGUAAAUGUCAGAUAACAGUUAUGUGGUAUAAAUGCAAAAUUACCCCCUUUUGAAGCAAUUUUGGAGAACUCACAUAUUUUGCACAUAUUAUCACAAAAUUACACUUUUAGCUAAAGCUGUUAAUUUGGACAUUGAUUGACAUCCUAGGCCUGCAUGCAAGACACCAGUUAGCUUUAAUGAUAAAUGAGCUCUACCAGCCUUACAUGUAGGUCCAUGAUGUCAGUUGACACCCACACAAACACUGUUAUUGAAAAAGUGUACCUUGUGAUAAUAUAAACCAAAAAAGCAUAGUUCCAUGAAAUUUAUUCUUAGAAAAAAUAUAUGAGAACAACGAUAGCAGUUAACAAAAAGAGGGUACCAUCAUUUUGAGAAAUAGUAAAAUUAACAAUGCUAUAAAAUGUUUAAAUUAAAUUAAAUUAAUUGGCUGCUCAAGAAACAUUAAACGAACUGGCACAACUUAGCUCUGUUUGCUUACACAGUUCAGGUUUGAUGUGUGGCUAUGUGAAUGCUUAUUCCAUAAACAUGCAAAACCCAGUUCAUUUAAAAGAUGGAGGUGGGUACUCCCUCCGUUCCAAAAUGUAGGCUGUUUUAAGUCAAAACUUCUCUAACUUUGAUAUAGCGAACAGUUUGUCAGCAACGGUCAUGCUGCAUUAGUUGCCAGUUUAUUUAUGCAUUCACACAUGAAUCAUAUGUAUACAAGUAUAUGUUGAUCAGAAUAUGACAAGAUUAGAGUCAGUAUAAUAUCAAACAUACCACAGCAUCAUCAAAAGCUGGAGUCAGAAUGUCAUUCUGAACAAAUGACGUGGCUCUGGUCGAACUGCCUGUUUUUCCUUUAACUGUGUACGUAAAAAUAAGGUCAAUGUUUGACAACUGAAGGAUAGAUUUCAUGAGUGUUACUGCUCGACCUUUUGCUCUCUCAAUCUGCAUGAAAAAAAAAUAUAACCAUGCUAUCAAUGUCCAGGAACAAAUAAGUAUCACUCGAAAGGUCUCACCAAAUCACUCAAAAGGUCUCACCAAAUGCCAUUGCCAACACUAGGCAAGCAGUAGAUACAUUUAUGACAAGUUAAAGAUUGUAUAUUUGACCACAUGUGAACUGGAGGACGAAACUUGAUGGGAACUAACAUGGAUCAAAUGACUAAAUUAUCCUCAUAUAUGCACCUGAAAUGAUACAUGUGCUCAUUAUAAAAAGAAAAACGCAACUGCAGCCCUUAAAAUUGUCCUGCCAUUUCAUCUACAUCCGUACACAUUUAAGAUUAAGGUCUGGGUCCCUAAACUUAAACUUGUUAAGCAUGUCACUUGAGGUUCACAUCUUCCUAAUUAGCAUCAAUUUACCCUUGCGGGUCAAGAACCACCAAAUCAGCAUGAACGGACAGGUACAUGAUUAGAAAAUGGUUGUGUCAGUGUGUGUAUUUCUGUUCAGGUUGCCCUCGUGGCACUGUGUACAGGCCAGCCAGCCUUUUCUUUGGUUAUCUUAAUACAAUGACACAACUCUCCUGUGUGUUUGAGGAAAAAAGGAUCUAUAUUUGCAUUAUAAGAGUUCAAGGAACUGAAUGAUAUCGUGGUACCAGUCAAGGAACCUAGUGUAUUUAACUCUAUUUAGAAAUGAUGUUGAGGGAGGGAAAUAUAAGUACAAACUACAUAGCAGGAAAAUCAUCAUUUGGUUUCAUUUGGCCAAAAUUUUGCAGCAAAGGCAGGAGAAACACAUGCCUUAUAUUUCUGUAAAUGAGGGAGUAUAUCAAAGUGUAACUUAACUAAGACACAAACAACCAGUAAUCUUUGAAACACUUACAAGAGAUGAAAUCUGCUUCUGCCAAGAAUUGCUAUCAGCCUCAAGCUUGGAAGCAUAAUUGUUUGCACCAGAAACUAGAUCCUUGAUGGAUGUUAAGUCAUCAACAGCCUUUUCAUAUUCUAGUUUCACAAGUCUUUGACAUGAUGUUAGCAAACGAUCUGCAAUGCCUAUUGGCGUUUCAAGUUUCAGCCGGACCCUUUCCUUUCCAUUUUCUGUUGAACUAUCCAAGAAGCUCAGUAAGUAAUCCUCAAGUUCACAGAACUUGCUGCUUCUCCAUCUAGGAUCAUUAAACAUAGCUUCCAUCAAAUGCUUUCCACCACCGUUUUUGGAAUAUGAAAGCUUGGCUUCCAGCGCGGAGCGUGAAGAUACAGGAAACAGUGUUACAUCCUCUGUGUUAAGCAAUUUCUUUGCAUUUUCCUUGACAAAUGUAGUAGCUUCUUCAAGCUGCAGACAUCAUUUUGAGAAGCAAAACAAUGAAUUAGAAACAAUCAAACAACCAAUAGGAACAAAACUAUCUUGCUGGGAUUUUGAAUGGUACAGAAAUGAUGACAUAUCAUACCUCAUAGCUGUUCCGAUAGAGGUCCAAUUUGUUUAGAACAAAUACAACUUUCUUUUUCCACUGCUGGACAUACUGAAGAAAUCCAACCUAGAAGUUACAAGAAACAACGUUUAGCCCUAUUAGAAAAUAGGGAAAAAAAUUACAUCCUCCAAAUAUAAAUCAGAACUGUACACUCUAGAGGCUUGACAUAAAUAUGCGUAUCAGCAAGAAAUCCAUGGAAAGAGCCCUUUCAAUCAUUAAAUUUUAUAUUUAGACCAAAAUGCCUUUAGACUGGCACUGACUGGAAGUCCAAAAUUUUGAAAUGUUCCUGCUUAUCAAUUAAAAGUUCAAUCCAACAACGCCAUGCAUAUCACAAUCUUAACAGUCUACUCUUUAGAUGGGAUCAAUACUGUAUCAUUUGUCUUUUAUGUGCUGAUAAAAACCAUAAUAUUAAAUGUGUCAGCAUGUGGCAUAAUCAGAUUAAAAAAAGUUUACCUCACUUUCAGUCAAUGGUCUAUCCGAUGAUAGGACAAAGAGUAUUAAAUCAGCUCGCGGCACGUAUUCUUCAGUAAGUCGUUGCUGCCUCUGAAGAAUAACAUUGGUUCCAGGUGUAUCGACUAGAUUCAUCUGUUAAUUAGUAAAUAACUAAAUAUGGAGCACCUUAUGAGAAGCAAAAUGAAGUAAAGCAAGAAAAUGCACUGCUGAGUUGGCCAUGUUACUGGGGCACCAACGCAACUACAGAAAGUAAAAAAAAAAGGUGGAACCAAAACUGGAAAUAAUUUCAUGGCACCAUCAUUUACAUAUAAUAAGUGCUGAUUAAUAGCCAAGCAGUCAGGCAGCUACAAUUAACAGACAGGUACAUGUUAUCAGCUACAGCAGAUUGAAGGAGAAAGAAGUUUGUCAUAAUAAUUUAUCAUAUUCCUUUUGAUUAUUUGAUCAUAAAAUGCUUUCAUGGAACCAAUACAUCUUUGAGUUCUAUUCAGAAAGCAGCCUUCAAAUGGGUGAAAACGGAAAAUAGACCCAGCUAGCUAAGCUUAUUUAAUCUCAGAGAUGCAUGCAUUCAGUAUCAUUUAUCCUUAGCUCUUUUAACUUAACGUAUUGAAUAAUGAACUGAAUGCAUACAUCCCUGAGGUAAGGAUGGAACAUCAACAUGGCAGUCACCAACAAUUCAAUACUUACUAUUAGAUAUGUAUACCUUAUUGCCUUGUAUACUUGAUUGCAUUCCUUGUAUACCAAGCCAUAUUGGCUAUAUAUAUAAAGUCCCCCCCCCACUCCACACACACACACACAAUUGGGUGUGUGGUGUUUCCCCCCUUCUACCACUCUACACUUAUGUAUUGAAUAAAUGAUACUGAACGCAUCCAUCUCUGAGAUUAGGAAAGAAUAUCAACAUGACAGUCACCAGAAAUUCAAUACUUACUUCCUUCAAAAUAGGAACAGAUAAAUAGCACAUGAAUUGACCAUCUGGGUGCCUCUCACAUCGUUCAAAGCUUUCAGAUUCAAUCUCGGAAUAUGAUAGUAGCGUGAUCUCAUUAGUCGUAGGCACAACUCCUUCCUGAAGAUACUGCCUUCCAAGUAGAGCAUUUAUAAAAGUUGAUUUUCCUGAGUUAAAUUCACCCUGCGACAAAUUGAAGGAGGAUCCACUCAGAACGAGUGUUAAAAGGAUUAUUGAACGAACAAAAUGAGUUGUUGAAUGCGAAAAAUGUAUAAAGUGGAGAACAAGCAGUCAAAUUAUUUCAUAGUGACUAAGGAAAUACUCCAGCUUUCAGGUUCAUACCAAAUAAUCAUGUGAGGAAAAUGAAUAUGACCAACACAUAUGUUUGUACAACUGUAGAACUGGACCUGUGCUCCUACUACUAGUUAGCUUACAGAUUUUGAGGGACCAAAGCCAUAGUUUAACUUGAAAAAUUAACUUGCAUUAUGUUUGUUUAUGCACAUACAGAACCAUUCAACAUGUGGACACAUAUGCGACAAUAUUUGAACCAAAUGAGGACGAGCAGAAGCAUCUUUUCUUAGUAAAAGGUAUGGAUUGCAGCACAGGAAAGAAAUAAGAACUAAUUCAAACCAUGUUUCAUGACAAAAUAAACCAGAAUAAAGCACUAAAUGCUACAAAUUAAUUGGUAGUUCAUGACAUGUACAAUACUGGAAACACAUAUUUCAAACUAUUGACUUAGCAGGUACAAUAUUGGAGUCCUUAUUAGAGAGAAAAAUAUACAUUAAGAUUGCUGAUUGCUUUCAAGAGAGAUGCAUAAUAUAUUGAUAUGGCUGUCCUAUAGCACCGUACCAUGAUUUAUGUAAAUAACACAAGAAUCAUGUUUCAUACAUCAAUUGGUCAGUGGCAGUAUACAUGAAGGUUAUCGAAUAUAAAGUACGUAAUGGAUGCUGUAAAAAUCAAUACUUGAUUAAACCCAAAAUUACCACAAUAACCAACAAAAAUGGCUCACUCAGGCGAGAAGCAGCAUCAACUAGAAGCUCAACUUCCUCCAUCUGUGACCAAAUAUCAGCAAUUACAUUCAAGUCAAAGAUAUGCUAGAGAAGUUGAUAUGAAGUACAGUUGAAUUCAUUACAAGGAAUAUUCAACUACCAAAUGUGUAACAUUAGAUGAUCACCAUUGGUGCUGCCUUGCGGAUAACAGCAACAGCUUCACUUAGAAUAGGCUUUUCCCUCUCUAUCAACUGCACCACUUUUUCAUCCAAUUUUGUAAAUCCAGCAACUUUGGUUUUCUCGCGAGUUAGGACCGCUACAUUAUUUGCAUCUUCCAAUGUGCUAGCAGAAGAAUAACUCGUUUGUGGGACUUCCUCAGUCCCAUCCACUUUUGAGAAAUCCCUUUCUAUAAGAUCAUCAGUGAGGUGUUGGAUACCAGCCAAGGAUGUAACAACUCCAGAUGCACCAGAUUGGAGCAACCUGGAUGUGAUGUCAGAAUAAGUUGCUCCACUGUGCGAUUCAUUUAAGGUGAAGAAAAUUGGAAUCUUCACCUGUUGACCAACACCACCACUCAUAACAUCCGCAAUAUUGUCACUGCCAGUAUUUGCAAUAAGAAAAUCAGCCCCUUCAGAACUUGAAGCACUUAUUGCAGAGUUUGCUGACCGUAUCGUUCUAGCAACAAUUGGAAGAUAUAUGGAGUCAGCAUUUGAUUUCAUCAUCAUACUCCUUGCAACAAUAGCAGGAAUACCUGCAUCAUAAAUGAAGGAGCACCUUAAAAUACAUAAAUCUUGCAGUGCAGUUACUAGUCUAUAAUCCAAAAUGCAAUACAUUUUAAUCUUAUCCCAAGUCAAACUUCUACAAGUCUAAACAAGUUUAUAGAAAAAUAUAUUUACAACUACAAUACCAAAUAAAUACAGUAUCAAGAUAUAUUUCAUAGUGGAUUUAAUUAAACUAAUUUGAUGUUGUAGAUGUUGGUACAUCUUUCUAUAAACAUAGUCAAAGUUAGAAAACUUUGACUUAGGAUUAAAACCAAAACGUCUUACAUUUUGGAACGGAUGGAGGACUUAGCAAGUUAGCAUGAUUUCCUAGUAAACUAGAAAAUGAAGUAUAAGUACGUUACAAGUUUACCAUGAUGAUCCAUUCAAAAUUAUUGGCGUUACACUUGGAACGAGGUAUACGGUUGGCAGGUAGUACAUCACAAUACAUGACUGAUAGGUGCCCAUGACCGAUCAGCAAUGAAGCAUAAACCCGGUUGUUGGAAAAUGUAAGCUCGAGGACAGUAUACCCCGCAACCCCGCAUUCUCAGUAACUGCUACCUACCUAAGCAAGACAAUACAAACUGGAAGCUUAGGAGAAGUUCAGUCACCAACCGUCGUCCGCGAGCACGACGCCGCUCGCCCCAACCGCGGAGGCGACGUCGACGCGCUCCGUGAUCAGCAGGUACGCGCGGUCCCCGACCGCGGCCCUGAGCUUGACCGCUGCCUCGUACGCGCGCCCGCCACCCUCCUCCCCGGCCUCGAGCACGACGAUCCCCACGCCGCGCGCCACGGCGGCGGCCACCUCAUCCCCGGACCGCAGCGCCUCCUCGGCGCCGACACGGAGCACUAGCGCGGGCACCUGGAUCUCCGGCCGCUUGAAGCCGCCGGGGAACAGCGUCCGCGGCGGCUCCUUCGCGGCGCCCCCACCGCCGCCGCUGCCGCCGGUGAUGCCUCCUCCGCCUCCAGCGGCGACGGCGCUGGCGUGGACCGCGCGGCGGAGGCGGCCGCGGCGGCGGGAGAGGAGGAGGGAGCGGAAGGGGGCGGCCGGGCGCGGGAGGAGGAGGCGGGUGGCGGUGGAAGCGGCGGACAUGGAGAGCGGGAGGGGGAGGGGAGGGAGCCCGCUCGCGUGUGGACAGUGGAGUGGGGAGAGCGAGGCGAGCUGGUGGUGGUGGUGGGGUGGGAAGCGGGAGGCGGUGGAGCCGUGGAGGGGAAGGAGUUUGUCGUGGAUUUGGUUGGAUAGGGCGGGGACCCGGCGCGGUGCACGGCCGCGAUGGGAUUUGCCGUUUGAUCUGGAACCAGCGUUUCUGCUCCUCCUCCUCCUCUAGUGCUGCUGCUGCUUUAUAUAUAUAUAUAUAUAUAUAUAAUGGAUGAAAAUGCCGCUUCAGACUGAAAAAAAAA
rnacentral:lncRNA from 1 species